rnacentral:lncRNA from 1 species
AUGGAUCUCUCCCACAUGAACAAUUUAAGCAAAAUAUGGACUGACACUCCUCAAGAAACUCUUACUUUUGAUUGUCUAAGGAAAGUGGAGGUUCGGAAUUGUAAGGGCCUUGAAAAUUUGUUUCCGUAUUGGGUGGCUACAAGUUUAACCCACCUUGAAAAACUUCAAGUGGAGUCUUGUGAGAUCGAGGAAAUAGUCGCUAAUGGGGGUGACACUCCAAGCUCCAAUACUACUCAAGAUCUUUUCCCAGUACUAACCUCUUUGGUGUUACGUGACAUGCCACGACUCAAGAGUUUCUAUCCUAACUUGCCCACUUUGCAUUGGCCAUUAUUGGAGGAAUUACGAGUGAUUCACUGUGACAAACUGAACAUGUUAUCCUUUACGGCAUCCAUGAACAGUUGGGCUCAAAAAUAUGAUCAACAAGACCUUUCAAAUCAAGAAGCACACUCUUCAUUCGAGAGGGUAUGAUUGUAGCUACUCUCCAUUAGUUUCUACUUUGUUCUUUAAAGCAGUCAUUAAUAUCAUAUCCAUUGCAUAUCAUGUCGCGUUAUAAUGUUAUAGAAAACAUGAUCUCCCUUACUUAUUAGUUUGUCGACAACAUUAAGAUAUUUCUAAUAUCUUAAGUAUACUUUCAUUUGUGGACAUGCAUAAGAUAUUCCAUUACCUAGAGUUACAAAAAUAUUUAUAGUAUUCUAUUGACAACAGAAUAUAUUCCUAAUCUAACUGAAUGGUGCUCCUUGGUGACAUCAAUAAGAAUUUGACAAGAGGUCCUCUCAAUUAUUGACAUGUGUCGCACAUUUGAACUUUUCUUCUCUAUUUCAUCUUCUACAAACUCUAAAAAAACACCAAUUGAAACUUUUUUUUUAAACAAAAAUAACAUCAGUAUUUAGUGCACCAUUUUCUAAUGUAUUUUUUAAUACACUGCACAGUCAAGUCAUCGUGUUGUAACAUUAGUAACAUUAGUACCUUAGUGCAUUGCAUAGUCGUCUUGUUGUCCUAUUAUAAUAUUAUAGAAAACUAGAACCCCUUUCCUAUAAGUUUGCGGACAACAUAAGGUAUUUCUUAUAUCUUAAGCACACUUCUAAAUUUGUGGACCCCAUAUGUUUUAGUAACAUCAUGAGCGCAUCUCAUUACAUAAGAUUCCAAAGAAGAUAUAUUUUUGUUGACAAGAUAUUCCUAACAAAAGAUGAAUUUAGUGAUUGUAUGGGUCUUGAAUUUAGAUUCACAUUAUCCACUUGACCUGACCAACCUUCCAUGCAAAUCAUCUAAAUAGGUUUACUUUUAACAACACAUGAUUUAUUGCCAAAACUUCGUAGAAUUUACUUCUCUUAUUGUAUUGGCUAUUUGACAGGACUUUCCCAACUUUGAGAGACUUUUAUUAGUCAAUAACAAUAUUCAGAUGAUACAAGAUGGAAAAUUUCCCGAUGACAUCUUUAGCAAACCAAAAGCACUAACACUGGCAUGCUUUCAUGAUGAAAAGGCCGUUUUUCCUUCUAUAUUCCUCUUAGAAAGAUUUCAGAAUCUACAAAGUCUUGAGGUAUUCUGUAGCUCAUUUGAAGAUAUAUUCCCGGACGAAGGGUUUGUUGAAGAGGGGAAACAUCUGGAGCUUGAAAAUUUAAGAGAAAUUAAGUUAAACAAGCUAUGCAACCUGAAGCGUGUGUGGAGAGAAGACUCUUUAGUGUCGAAAAUUCUUCAGAGCAUCAAAACAUUUGAGAUUUGGGAUUGUCCCUGUUUGACGACAAUAUUUCCAACUGUGGCAUCCUUCCAAAAUUUGACGAAGUUAGUGGUGAAGAAUUCCUCUGGAUUGGUACAUCUAGUAACAGUUUCAACGGUCACAAAUUUGAUGCAUCUGGAGAGGAUGACUAUAAUAGAAUGUGAAAGAGUGAAAGAAGUAGUGGCCAAUGAUGGAAACGGAGAAGGAAAAGUGAUUUCUUUUGGAAAUCUAAACUUUUUGACACUCCAAGAUCUGCCAAACCUAGAAUGCUUCUCCUCCAUCUCGAGUUGCACCUUCAAGUUCCCAUACUUAUUGAGGAUUAUAGUGGAAGAGUGUCCGAAAAUGAAGACCUUUUCUAAGGGUACGCUAAGCACACCACAACUAUUUAUGUUGGCUAAUGCGGUGAGCCUAUUCAGAUACAAGUGGAAAGGGAAUUGGGAGGAGGGCGAUGAUCUCAAUACGACCAUACAAAAGUUAUGGGCAUAAACAAAUGCACAUAGAAUUGGUAAAUAUUCAAUUGAUGUCAUUCUCUCAUCCAUUCGUAUUUUUCUUCUUAUUUUUUGGUAGCACGGUAAGUUUUUAAAUUUUUCUUUUUGUAACUUUUCUAUUAUUGAUACCGUCGGAUCAAAGCAUCAUCAACCCUUUUCUAUCGAUCGAUCGAUCUCGCCUCCUUCACUGAACAGUAGGAAACGAAGCAAGGCUCUCCUUCUCCUUCUUAACGCCAGAGGCUCUCUCUACUGCGUUCACGGAGGACGGAGCGAAAAGUAAGCGUCGGGAAUUGCCAGGACUUGAGAGAAGAUGGCAUUGCCAAGUCUGGACAGUCAGUCCUCCACUCACUUCAUCAAAGAAGAACAUCAUUCCCUCUCCGCAUCUAUAUUCGACGAAUCGUAAGUUCACGCUUCUGCUCACAUCAUUUCUCUCGUCUGCUAGAAUUUCUUCCCGAUUUUCGUGUCUUAUUGCACGUAAUUUUCUUCCGGUGUUCGUAGAGACCUUUCCUCAAUCGUCGUCGUCUUCUUCAGCUAGGGCUCUGCUUUUUAAAUUCGUUCCGUGUAAAUUUCUCAGUCCGCUACUUCAGAUCAUGGACCAAUAGAGGUCCUUCACUGACAUCAUCAAAGAAGAAGAUCAGUCUCUCUCUCUCUCUCUCGCUCUAUCGCUCUCUCUCGCACUUGAACCCGGCAAACUCGUAAGUUCACUUUUCUCCCAAUUUUGUUGUCUUAUUGCGCAUCAAUUAGGUUGAAGUCGGAAGCUGGUUUCGUAGAGACCUUCCUCAAUCCUCGCCUUCUGCUUCAGCAAAGGGCUCUGUUCUUCAAAAUUCAUUCCACAUUAGAGUCUAAAAGGAUAGCAAUUUUAUCUUAACAAUGGAGUAAUUGAAAUAGGGAAAAGAAUGAAAGGACUAUUAUUGGGACAUAAGCUAGUGGUUGGAGGUUCGAAAAUAUAACAAUCGUCUCCUUAUUUAGUGGAUAGAUGCGUUGGAAAAGCAAUUCCUAAGGAGUCUUAGAAUUAGAAUCCAAGUCCUCUUAUAUGGAGAAAUUUGACAAUGUGAUUCAAUGUCGGAGAAGUAGAAUAUAUAUGUUAAUCGCACAAAGAGAGUAUGUUCAUAUGGACAAGCAAAUUGCAAAGAAUGUUGCUUCCUCCAUAACUAAAGAGAAAGACCUAAUUGAUAAGGGGCUGGCUUGUUGUGAUUAUGAAAUUUCGUUCUAGAUGUAAUGACUGAUAAUUUUGUUUUUAAAUUGGAGAUGCUGUUGUAUUUUAUUAUAUUAAUCAGAUUUAGGGAAAAAGAAAAGAUUUUACUUCGUCAAAUUGAACCAAUAGUUGAUAAAACGNNNNNNNNNNNNNNNNNNNNNNNNNNNNNNNNNNNNNNNNNNNNNNNNNNNNNNNNNNNNNNNNNNNNNNNNNNNNNNNNNNNNNNNNNNNNNNNNNNNNGAUUCUUUUUCGCUGGUCGGCCCAAAUUUGGAAGAGAAGGUCAUCUGCAUGUAGAAACUCAUUGAUAGGGAUGAUUUUCUGUUCAGAGUCCACAUAUUCACUAGUGCUGGUUAGGACUUGAUUUACAUUGAUCUAGAUGAACUCUGGAAGUGUCACUUUCACUGGUCCAAAAUGAAUUCAGUAUUCCAAAUAAUAACUCCUUUAUAUAGUCUUGAGGAAUCAAGGAAGUGUACUUCUACGCCGAUUGGGUUUUAUGAGGUUGAUCACAAUCCAGAUGCACACUCAUUAAUGCCACAUUCUAAAUCUAAAUGAACUGAAAAGUAUGUGCUUCAAGACAUCCUUUUUGGUUUAUGCAUUCUUCAUUUUGAAUUUAAAAACAAGUCUCAUAGGCUUAUUAAAAAGGUUCAAGAGGAUGCUUUUGAGAGAAUGGUGCAAUUAUUUGGCCUGUAGAAUUGGAAAAAUGUGAUGAGAUGGUUUGGUUAGCAAAUGGUUUGAAUGAAUAUGCAGAGCAUUACUCUAUCUGUAAGGUUCAAUUUUUGGUCUUCUAAUAUGAAGGGGACUCCAUUUCCCGUGUCACCAUAAUUGAUGAAGGGAUGUCCACGACAGAAUAUCCACCAAUCAAUGUUGAUAUGAGGAACCAAGCCUCAGCAAUUAUGGAAUUGUCUUGCUCAAAGUGGAAGAUGCCUUCGAUUGCCAUGACGUUUCAGUCAAGCUUCAACUCUGGGGGGAUAAUUUGCAUUCAACCAAGUGUCCUCGAUUUUGUAUGGAAAUCGAAUUUGAUCAGGUUUGCAAAGUUCAUGGCGGUUCCUAUGCACAUUCAUCAGCAGAGUUUGGGAGGGACAAAAGUUACAACUGCUCAUCACAAGAUCUUCCAGGUGUGAUUCUUAAUAUUAGCUAAUUCUUCCAUUGAUUGUGUGUGUGUGUUGAGACUAAGUGUGCCGGCGAUUGCUGUGAUGUUUCGGUUGAGCUCGAAGUCUCCAUUGAUUGUGUUGUUUCUCAUGUUUGAUUCAAAUACUGUACAGGAACUGUCCAUUUCGUUUGGCUAAGAGAAACUGCAUUAGAGUUAAUGCUAAGAGAAACUGUGUUAGAGCUAACUCAUUCUCUUAAUGUUUCUGUGUGUGUGUGUGUGUGUGUGUGUGUGUUUUUCUGUGUGUGCGUGUGUGCAUGUGUGCGUGCGCGCGCGCGCGCGUGUGUUGAGACUAAGUGUGCCAGCAAUUGCUGUUUCGGUUGAGCUGUGUGUGUGUGUGUGUGUGUUGAGACUAAGUGCGCGUGCGUGCGCGUGCGUGCGUGCAUGCACGUGCGCGCGCGCGCGCGCUUGUGUGUGUUGAGACUAAGUGUGCUGGCGAUUGCUGUGAUGUUUUGGUUGAGCUUGAAGUCUUGGGGGAUUAAUUGCAUUCAGCUUUGCAUGGCAAUGGAAUUUGAUUAGGUUUGCAAAGUUCAUUGAAAUUCCCAUGCACAUUCAUUAGCAAAAAGUUUGGGGAGGGACAAAGUUCAAACUGCUCAUCACGAGAUUUUCUGAGAGUGAAUCUUAAUAUAUUAGCAAAUUCUCCCCUUGACUGUGUUGUUCCCAUAUUUGAUUCGAAUAUCAGGUAGGAACUCUCCACGUCGUUAGGCUAAGAGAAACUGUGUUAAAGCUAAUUCAUUAUUGUAAUGUUUCUUUGUCUAUAGCUCUCCCGCCUGUACAUAUGUAUGUGUUUGGGGAUCUCAUAAAUAAUGGAAACAAAGCAAGCCAGUCAUAUCAGAUUUCAUUGUGAUGAGAAUGGAUUUGUGUGCAUAUAGGCCUCAGGAAGAUAGAACAUUAGUAAGACUCAGAUCUAUUGAUUUAGGGUUGCCGUGUCGGUAGAUAUGGGUUUUACAUAACAAGAAUAGAAUAUGCCUAAAACGCUAAAGCUUUUUUCAUGUUCUGUUUGUGGCUGCUGUAGGUAAGCUGAGAGAGUCAGGCUUGUGAAGAGCUCUCGAACUAGCCAGCAAAUUUGUACUCGAUUAUCCUUUCUUCCAAAUUGCGGUGAGGUGAAUAUAUCUGAAGAAAAGCAAUAUGGUAAGAUCCUCAUGACAAUGACAACUCUUGGAUUUAAAUCACAUAGAGUUGCUAGACUAUGUUAGAUCUAGAUAUUUAAUCACGUGGCCAAAAAAAAAAAAAAAAUUGGGUCCUUUACAUGCUUUGAAAAGGAUAUUCAUACUGUCUUCCUCAGAAAUCGUUGGUUGUUUUCUUCUUUCGGAUGACAAAAUUGCGAAUUGUCUCCUUGAGCAGAGAGUUUCUGGUUCAUUCCUAAAGACGCAUGUUAAGAAAAGCCCGCAGACCAUGGCUCUCAUAUUGCAAGACAGCAUGGCGUUGAAGCUCACCAGCCGUGAACAUUAUGGAAAGCUAUUUGCCUACAGGGCUGCAUUCAUGAGAGAAACUUCUCUGAAGGCGGAAGACGCGUUAUGUGUUUGAGCUCUACUGAUAUGGACAAUAUCAUGUUUGGACCAUCCAACUUCAGAACCAUUGAUAAGACUUGGCUGAAUGAUAAUACUAUGCAAUACGAUAUAGCAGAGGAAGUUUCGGCUUAGCUCACUUUUGGUGAGAAUGUGGCUUUCAGAAUGGCUAGGCUAAAUUCUGCUUCCAAUUCGGCAAAAUGGAUAAAAGCAUGAGUCUUGUUCCAAUGGAUGAAAUGGUCCUGAAUGUGUACAAUGCCUUUCUUUGAUCCUAGACUUAAUAAUCACCAUGAGGGCACGAGUUGUGAGUCGGAGGAAGCUGAUUCCUACUUUUGACUUUGUAACUUCCAUUUCAGGAGACAAUCCCUCAAAUCUGGGGCUUCUUCAAGGUUUCUAGUGGCACAACCUGACCUUUAGAAUUGUAGAGGGUAGUAACAUCGGAUACACUUCCCCUAAGCCAUAUACCAAGUCUAAAUUUCAAGGUGUAACCAUGACUUUACAAGCUCUGAUGAACUUAAUCAGAUUCUGUUCAUUGUCUCUUUUUGAUUUUUUCAGGAUUUCGUGAUCAGUCUUUUCGCAUGAGAGAAGUUCGUUAGUUUCUUCUCAUAUGGAAAGCAUUCAGAAUUUAUUCUGUCAAAUUAACUGAGUAAUGAUAUGUAUAGCAAAGCAAUUUCCAAUCUAUGCUGCAUCUUUUCAUGGUUAGUCAAUUGAGGAAAUUUUCACAUUAAUAUCUACUAAAAUUCCUCAUUGUUCAACUGUGGAAAAAAGGAUUUCUAGUCACCCACCUUUCUACCCUCGGCCAUGCCGCCAAAUGAAAUGAUAUCAUAGGAUUUAUAUAAAGAAGUACCCCAGAGUGGAAGGAAUAGCUUCACUAUUUCUAUUUUUAUAGAAAUGGGAAGUAGUCUAUAUGUAGAUUGAGCCAUUCUGAGUUGGUUUUUCCUGGUCUUACACUUCCUAGAGCUCUCAUUACACGCCUAAAUUAGCUUGCAAAUUCGGUUUAUAGAUGUCCUUUUUCAAAAUAGUGAUCCCGCAUUUUAUAUGAAUAGUUUAGUAAGAUCUUGAGCUUAAUUCGUCACCAAUACCUAAAGCUUAAUUAUGAUUGCUAGUGCCUACAAUAUGACGACCGUUCUAGCAAUUGAUGUCCACUUGUUGGAGUAUUUUUUUCCCCAUUUAUACAGCAUUUAUAAUUGAAGCCAAUAGAACGCUAGAACAACAUUCACUAAUAACACGUAAUAAAAAAGAAUGUUAGCUAGAAAUAUCUUUUAAUCCUUUAGCACUUUCAAAAGGAUAAAUUAAUCCUUAAAUUUCCUCGACCUCAAAUUAUUACCUUCUUGUUUUUUGCCCUCCAAUUUUAUCCUUUGAUUUCUCAUUCCACAUAACAAUUGCAUAGCUUGGUUGUUCAAACAUGUAGAUUAUUAUCAUAUUUCGGGUGGAUUCAUUAAGCAACAUAUUCGAAAAAAAAAGCAAAGAGCAACUCUUAGGUAUUCUGGCAGUGAAGCUCGUCGGGAGCUAUAGACUUGUAAGAGGGGCUUGGUCUCUAUAUUUUUCUUCUGGUUGACAUGCAUUUCCGAGAGAAACUCACACGCAUGUAGGAGACGGUUUGCCUAUUUGAGCUAAUUGAUAGGGAUGAUGGUAUUUGAAGACUCCAUUUUGAGUUUGCAUGUUUCAGCUAGUUGACAGGGAUGAUGGUGUUUGAGACUUCAUUGUAUGAAAUGAGUACUCCCAUGUUUAGUCGUGCUGCAUCACUGACAAGUAAAUUUCCUUUUCUUUGUUAAUUGAAAAUAAACUCAAAAAGAUUUUAUGAAGACUUUGGUGCCUCGAUUUGUAACACAACGAUUUAGGCAGGAAUUCUAGGUAGUUAUAUUUUCAUGAAUUUCCACUUCUUCUUAAUGUUCACAAGAGUUACCACCUUAGUAGAAGACAAUGACAAUAUCAAAAUGGAUGAGUCAUUUAUCCAGGUUAGAGUCAGGACAACUAAACUGAACUCUAUCAUUAGGUCCCUCAUAAAUGAAUGGACUAAGAUGAUCACCUAAAUGCUUGCAUUCUUUGCAGCAACAGCUUCUCAUUACUAUAUGCUUAUCACAACUUGCGACUCAGAUACCUCUAUGUAAUGACAUGCUUUUCCUUCUCCCCAACGUGGUGUCAUAGAAUCCACAAAGAAUCCUUUUUAGAUCUUCAUGAUUUUUAUUUCUAGGGAGUUUUUGUGUUGAUCCGCUGUCACAUAACACGUGUAUAAUCAACGUCAACAUUGCUUAGGAGUGAGCUUUAGGAGGUCACCAAUUCUCUACACCGCUUUGUAACAGAACGAAACAACAUAUAAUAUUGAUACUAAUAACCAGAAAGCAAAGCAGACCCAUAUAAAAUUUCAUUGAACCCCUAAAACACCAGAGCACAUAAUUAACAAAUUUGAUGGGAUCAUCGACUAAUUUAAAGAACAGCGGUUAAGCUAUGCAACAACAGGUUACCUAUAGUAUAGGUCCUAUACGAGGGUUAGGAGUGUCAUUGAAUAGCAAAAGCAAAUUACUACUUCGAAAAGAGACGAGCAUGUCCAGACUCCAGAAUCUGCCAAUGGUUGCUUACCCUUUCGAACAAAGUAAGGCAGGAAAAUAGGACGCGGGAGACGUGGAGCUUUCUCGAUCCUUCUUCUUCUUCCUCGGGAGCGAAACUGGGGGAACCUCUGCUUCACUCCAUGGAGGACGGAACGAAAACGAAGCGUCGGAAAUUGCGAGGACUGAGAGAAGCGAAGCUGCACUUAGCGGAGCGGAGUGAAGUAGAGGGGGGAGAGAGAGGGAGACUCAACCAGAUGGAGUGUUACUGUCGCCGCCGUCGCCGCCGCCGCCGCCGCCGCCAGAGAGAAGACGAAAGUGCGACGCCGGAGAUGGCAUAACCGAGUCUGGAUGGACAGUCCCCCACUCACUUCAUCAAAGAAGAAGAUCAUACUCUCUCUCUCUCUGACGAAUCGUAAGUUCAAUGCUUCUGCACCCACCAUUUCUCCCGUCCGCCAGAAUUUCUUCCGAUUUUCGUUUCUUAUCGUGCGUAAUUUUCUUCUGAUUUGCGGAAAACCUUUCCUCAAUCGUUGUCGUGUUCUUCAGCAAGGUCUCUGCUUUCAAAAUUCGUUCCACAGUCGAGUCUUGUCCAUGUAAAUUUCUCAACCCACUGCUUCAGAUCGUGGACCAAUAGAGGUCCUCAAUCGUCGUCGUCGACAUCUCGCGUGCUUCUCUUGUGAGUAUGUGUAUGGUUUUUCUUUAUCAUACUGGCUGCUUUGGAAGUGUGCAUGGAGCAUUUAGUCAGAUCAUGGCCAGCGAAGAAAAGGAGCUAAUCCGCACAAGCAUGUGGCGUUCUUCUCUGCCAAUACGCAAGCAUUUGUGAUAGAAUCACGUAUGUGUAGGAGAUUUCUUACGUGUGUGAGCUCAUUAUGGAGAUGAUAUAAGGAGUCGCUUUUAUGCUUUGUUCUUAAUAAACUUCAGAGUGCUCAUCGUCAUGAGAAUUUGGAGGGAUGACUUGCGGUUUAACAUAUUGAGUUUCUGUUGUAUAACUCUCUUUCCGUCGCUCUUUGCAAAUUCUAGAAAAGUUUCUAAGAAGCUCUUGUUUGAAUCUUGAUUGAUUACGUCAUGAUUUGUACAUAAACUAUCACUAAAGUUAUCAUUUUUCAAGUACAGGGAGGACCAAACAGUUAGAAGAUUUGAGGCACCCGGAGCUGGUUUUUUAUGGUCCCACACACCCAAGACCUCUCACUGGUCUUUAAUUGGCCAACAAAUUUCAAACGGAGAAUCCCUUCUUCAAGGUGGUGAUGAGGCCAUCUUCUGUUAACUAUGGCAUGGUAAGAUCCCAAGCUUAUUUACUCAAACUGGCAUGACUGAAAAUCGAAUAUAUCAAUGCUGUUUAUAUCUUUGCCCAUACUCUAAUGUAAUUCCAAGUUCACCUCAUUAAACCACGACAUGUUCUUUUCCCUGAAGUGUUCAUGAGUAUAUGUUUAAAACCAGGUAUACAUCUUAAUGAUGGAGUAAUCAAAGCAGGAAAAAGAAUGAAAGGAUAGUUAUGGGGACAUAAGCUGGUGGUUGGAGGUUCGGAAAGAAAACAGUCGUCUUCUUUUUUUUUUUGGAUAGAUGUGUUAGAAAAGCAAAUGCCGAGGCAAGUCUUAAGAAUUAGAAUUUGAGUUAUAUGUUAAUCACACAAGGAGACUAUGACAUGAACAGGCAAAUUGCAAAGAAUGUUGCUGUCUCCAUAAACUCUGGACUGCUCAUUAUCAUGGGAAUUUGGAGGGGUGUUGCGGUUUAACAUGUCUUGUUUCUGCUUGCCUAACUCUCUUUCUCUUGUUCUCUUCAAAUUCUAGAAGAGGUUUUUUAAGAAGCUCUGGUUUUAAUCUUGAUUGAUUACGUAAUGAUGUGGGAAUAACUUCCAACCCAUGCUAUAUUUUUUCAUGGCAAGUCCAAUUAAUGAAGUGUAAACAAACUGUUGCUAAAGUUGUCAUUUUCCAAGCACAGGAAGGACCAAACAGUUAGCAGAUUGAGGCAUCCUGAGCUGGUUAUUUUAUGGUCCCACACACCCAAGGCUUGUCACUACUCAUAAAUCGGCCAACAAAUUUCAAAUGGAACAUCCCUUUUUCAAAGUGGUGAUGAGGCCGUCUUAUGUUAAGUAUGGCUUGGUAAGAUCCCAAGCUUAUAUCCUGAGACUGGCAUGUCUGAAAAUCAAAUAUAUUCAUGCCGUUUAUAUCUUUGCCUAUACUCUAGUGUAUUUUUCCAAGUUUACUUAAUUGUAUAGUAAACCAUAUGAUAUGUUAUAUUCCUUGAAGUGUCCAUGGGUAUAUGUUUAAAAUCAGGUAUAUAUCAUAACAAUGGAGUAAUUGAAGCAGGGAAAAGAACGAAAGGACAGUUAUUGGGACAUAAGCUAGUGGUUGGAGUUUCAGAAAGAUAGUGAUUAUCUUCUUUUUUUGUGGAUAGAUGUGAUGCAAAAGCAAUUGCUGAGGUGUCUUAAGAAUUAGAAUCCAAGUUCUCUUAUAUGGAGAAAUUUGACAAUGGAGAAAUCAGGUAUAUGUAAAUCGCACAAGGAAACUAUGUGGAUAUGGACAAGCAAAUUGCAAAGAAUGUUGCUGCUUCCAUAACUAAAGAGAAAGACCUAAGAAAUGAGGGGGUGGCAUUUUAUGAUUCUGAAAUUUUGUUGUAGAUCUAAUGACUGAUAAUUUUGUUGUCAACUAGGAUAUACUGUUGUAUUUUGUUAUAUUAAUCAAAUUUGGGGAAAAAAGAAGAUGAUUUUACUUUGUCAAAUUGAACCAAUAGUUUGAUAAAACCUUAUUUGAGCUGCGCUUGGAAGAAUCGAACAGCUUAAGUUUGACAUUUGACAUAUAUGUGCCAGUCAUCGAUGUAUUUGCUUUUUCCCUGUGAUUGUGGUCUGUGUAGCUGAAAUUCGUAUAUAUAGGACAUGGAAGGCUUCUUCUGAAUGUUUCCCUAUUGCACUCUAGGAGCAUAGAUAUUGAUAUUUGACUUUGGAUUGAUGACUUGCAUCAUAUGGUUUAUAUUAAAACUCACGUUGUGCGUGAUUUGAUUCUCUCAUUAGAGUAUGCUUAUAUUUUGGUCUGUUUUUCACCAUAUGUUGGUCUUUCAACCAUGUUUAGGGGCAGUCUGCUCCUAUUCAAUUCAUCAUGCAACAUAUUUAGGAAAUCAUGUGAAUUGCGACUUUCAGGUAUUCAGUCAGAUCAUGGAGGGUGAAGCUAAGGAGCUAUGGAGACGCAAUAUUGGGGCGGGGGGUUGUUUUUUUCUAUUGGUUGGCCCACAUUUGCAAGAAAAAGUCAUCUGCGUGUAGAAAUUCAUUGAUAGGAUAAUGUGGUGUUCAGAGUCUAUGUAUCCACUAGUGCUACUUAGGACUAUAUUUACAUCAAUCGAGAUGAACUCUGGAAAGGUCACUUUGGCUGGUACAAAAUGAAUUCAGUAUUCCAAAUAAUAACUGCUUCAGAUAGUCUUGAUGGACCAAGGAAGUGUACUUCUACGUUGAUUUUGUUUAUGAGGUUGAUAAUAAUCCAAAUGCACACUCAUUAAUGCCACAUUCCAAAUCUGAAUGAACUGAAAAGGAUGUGCUUCAAGAUGUCCUUUUUGGUUUAUGCAUUCUUGUUAUAUUGUUCUUCAUUCUGAAUAUGAAAUCAAGUCUCAUAGGCUUAUGAAGAUUAUACAUUUUAUUUUUUCCCACAGGGAAUACCAAAGAGGUUCAUGAAAAUAUGGUGACAAUCUCUCGAAAGGAUGAUUUCUGAGAGAUUGGUUUGGCCUGUGGAAUUGGAAAAAUGUGAUGAGAUGGUUUGGCUAUCAAAGGGUUGGAAUGAAUUUGCAGAGCAUUGCUAUAUCUGUGAGAGUGUGAGGGCCAAUUUUUCGUCUCAAAUCUGAAGAGGACUCCAUUUACCAUGUAAUCAUUUUUGAUAAAAGCAUGUCCGAGAUAGAAUAACUGCCAAUCAAUGUCAAUAUGAGGAACCGAGCCUCAGCAAUUGUGGAAUUAUCUUGUUAAAAGUGGAAGAUGCCUGCAAUUGCCAUGAUGUUGCAGUUGAGCUUGAAGUCUUAGGAGAUGAAGCCAAGUGUCCUUGGCUUUGUAUGACGAUGGAAUUUGAUCAGUUUUGCGAAGUUCAUGGCAGUUCCUAUGCAUGUUCAUCAGCACGGAGUUUGGGGAGGGACAGAAGUUUGAACAGCUCAUCAUGAGAUUUUCCAAGUAUGAAUCUUUUUAUAUUAGCUAAUUCUCCCAUUGAUUGCGUUCUCUCAUUUGAUUCGAAUUCCAUACUGGAACUCUCUAGAGCUAAAUUCAUUCUUAUAGUGUUUCUUUGUCUCUGGUUCUCCCAUGUGUGCAUAUGUAUGUGUUGGGGCUUCUUGUAAAUUCAAGCGAAUGGAAACAAGCCAAACUGGUCAUAUCGGAUUUGAUUAUGCUGAGAAUUGUAUUGGCAUGCAAAUUGGCCUCAGGAAGCUACACUGUUAGUAAGACUCAGAACUAUUGAUUUAGGGUUGCUAUGUUGGCAGAUAUGAGUUUCACAUAACUAGAAUAGACUAUGCCUAGAAAGCAAAAAAUUUCUUCAUGUUCUUUUGUGACUGCUGCAGGUGUAAGCUGAGAGAGCCGGGCUUGUGCAGCGCUCUUGAACCGGCCAACAAAUUUAAACCUGAGUAUCCUUUGUCCGAAAUUGCAGUGAGGUGAAUACAUCUUAAAAAAAGACAAUGUGGCAAGAUACUCAUGACAAUGACAACUCUUGGGUUUAAAUCACAGAGUCGCUAGACUAUGUUAGCACUAGGUUAAUCGCGCAUCAUGUCAAUAGUUUCUGUUGUUAUCCUUCACAUGCUUUGAAAAGGAUCCUCCCACUAUCUUCCUCAGAAAUCAUUGGUUGUUUUCUUGUUUCUGAUGACAAAAUUGCAAAAUGUCUGUACUUGAGUAGAGAGUUCCUGGUUAAUUCCCAAAGACGCAUAUUAAGGAAAGCUCAUAGAUCACUGGUUUCAUAUUUCAAGACAAAUCAUGGCCAUUGAAGCUCAUCAGCCACGACCAUUAUGGAAACUUAUCUGCUCGUUGGGCUGCAUUCAGGAGAGAAACUCCUCUGCAGGUGGAAGACGUCUGUGCGUUCGAGCUUUAUCGGAAGGGACAAUAUCGUGUUCAAAGUAUCCAUCUUCAGAACCACUGAUAAGAUUUGCGUGAAUAACAAUACUAUGCAAAUACGAUGCAGCAGAGGCAGCAUCGGUUUUAGCUCACUUUUAGUGAGAACUAAACAGACAGAAUUGCUAGGCUGAAUUCUGCUUCUAGUUCGGCAAAAUAGAUAAAAGCAUGAGUUUUGUUCCAAUGAAUGAAAUGGUCCUGAACGUGUACGAUACCUUUCCUUGACCCUAGACUUAAUGAUCACCAUGUGGGCGGGAGUCGUGAGUUGGAGGGAGCUGAUAACUAAUGUCAGUUCUGUAAUGUCCAUUUCUGGAGACAAUCUUUCAAACUUGGUGCUUCUUUAAGGUUUCCGGUGGCUCGAUAUGACCUUUAGAAUUGUAAAUGGUAGUAACGUCGAAAACACUUCCCUUGAGCCAUAUACCAGGUCUGAAUUUCAAGGUGCGACCAUGAGUUUACAAGCUUCGGUGGACUUACAUCAGAUUCUUUUCAUCGUCUCUUUCUGAUUUCUUGAAGAUUUCGUGAUCAGUCUUUUAGCACGUGGGCGCCAAUUGAAGUUUGUUGAAGGGCUUUCGGAAUUUUUUAUUUUUUAUUUUUCAUAUUAGCUGAAUGUUGAUAUGCAUGACAAAGCAAAUAUGCUGGCGUCUUUGGGUCGCUGCGGCACGACUCUUCCGCAUACUCUCUCGACAGAUACAGCAUCCGAGCCUCCAGCAGUGGCUUUUCGUCUUAGAAUCGGCGCUCUCAGAACUCGCUCUCGCCGCCGGAUAAAGCUCGCCGAUUCUCUCUCUCUCUCUUCCUUACAAGAACUCGAUACCUCCUCCAAAGCACAACCGACGGCAAUGGAAAUUUGGGAGACAGCAAGAGGAUGGGAGAAAACAAAAGCGAAACAUCCUGGAGAUGCAACGUCCCGGCAAUUGCGAUUGUUGAUCAAGGAAACUCCGUGGUCAAUUUCGCUGUCGUGGCAGCAAGGCGACUGUUAUCUUCGAACCGGUAGCCACACUGUUUGUGCUUCAGUCGCUGCUGGAAGCAACAAUCGUUAGAGAAUUCAAUCUCGAUGAAUCGCUGGCGGGUGCUCCGUUCGCGAUUGGACUUUCUCUCCAGAUUUUCUCCGACUAGAUUUUUUUUUUUUUGCAACUUCUCUCUCUCUCUCUCUCUCUCUCUCUGGCUCUGGAUUCCCCUGAUUCAUCUCCACCAAUUCAGAUCAUGCCCACGGUGAAGCACACCAUCGGAUUCCAUAUUCGAGUCGUGACCACUCCGAUUCGAGUCGUUGCUUUUCCUGUCCUUACCCAUGUCUGUCGCCGGGCCAUCUCAAGCUCACGUGGCCAUCGCCACCGAACCAUCAUCAGGGCCGUUUCAUGUCCGAUUGAACUUCCAAGUCAAAUUCCGAUUCACUCCAAAAUACGUUCUGUUGACUCUUGCUUCGUUCUGUCCCGCUCCCACUUCAUCGCCGUCUUUCAAUUCCAUUGUUUCGCCCAUCCAUGCCACACGCAAAGGGGAUGCGGAGUGGUUUGUUCACUGUUUACAAGAGUUUUAUCCGAUUGCCAAGGCUGAGGUUGGAUGGAUGAUCAUCAUCUGGAUACAAUCCACCGAUUCGAAGGAUGAGAUUCUUCGGGUUUCGCUCUCAGCUCCCCUGCCGGUCCGGCCUCGCUUCAUCAACCGCGGCAGCCGAGGCCAAUCUGGGUCGUCAUUAUCAUCCGAGACGAUAUGCCAAGCGUGAAGAUUGGCGGCGGUGAGCACGAAGAGAAAACAACGAAGAACAAAAAGGAGCGAAGCAGCGGAUGGUGGUUCUUUGGCUGAGAAGGAAAUAAAGUGCUGAAAAAAAAAAAAAAAGAGACGAAGGGAAAAAAUAGAGUGCCCACGAGAAAUCGAUCAAAAGGAAGACUUGCAGAAGAGAUGUAAUUCGUCAUUCCAUCGAGCACCUUCCUUGCAAACUCGAUCCCUCCUCCACAGUGCGACCGACGGCAAUGGAUCUUUGGAAACAGAUAUCAACGGACGAAGUCAAAACAUGUCAAAAUUAAUUCUAGAAUCGAAUCGAAGAUGAAAUGACCUGGUGAUAAGUACGACCGUCGAUCUGACAUAUAUCAUGAUCGCCCGAAUGUUAGCGAGGAACCGGCUGUCCAUGGAUAUUUCUUAUGGUGCGAUCUUCGUUCCUCCGUCUGUUGUUACAGAAUCGUUUCACUUUCUCUGUCUCUCUAAGCGCAAUUCAACGAACACCUUCUGCUCAGAGGACGCAGCACUCAAUGACCAGGAAACUCCGUCUGUCAAGUUCUUCGCCAUGCAUCGUUUUCUCUUUGUCCAUCUUCAUUCUUCACUAAGCCUUCCUCCAUCAGGGUCGUUUCCUAUCCGAUUGAACUUCCAAGCCCAGUUUCGAUUCAUUCCAGAAUACGUUUUGUCGAUUCUUGCUUCGUUCUAUUCUCUCCCACUUCAUCCCCGCCUUUCGGUUUCCAAAUGCCGUCGCUCGCGUCCUUCGUUUCGCCCGUCUAAGCCGCGCACAAAGGGGAUGUCGGGCUGGUGUAUAGGAUCCACUGAUUUGAAGGAUGAGAUUCUUCGGGUUCACUAUCGGCCCUCCUGCCGGUCCAAGAAGCCCGUUGAAAGGAAGACUUGCACAAAAGAUGGAAUUCCUUGAGAGGAAGAUUCAUCCCACGACUCAAGCCAUCAUUUUCAUUUUCUUUUCCUUAGAAAAAGGCAUCAAAAACUCCAAACGACGCCAUUGCUGCGUCUCUUCGUUUCACAUACCUUUGUCGGAUCUCUCCCUCCAUCUCGAUGCCCUCCCCCGCUCAGUGAAUUCCGAGUCGCUCCACCAUCACCCUCACUGUCUACUGCUGCCUUGAAACCGAGUUGCACUCACCUAUUUCCAGUGUGAGCCUUGUGAUUGAUUCCGUCCCUUGCCGUCUUUAGAAACUUUCGGUGAUAAUUUUUUUUUUUUUUUCCUUCUUCCGGUUUAAAUAGCGUUUUCGUAUUGUGGAUUCUUACAUGUUUUGACAGAGGCUUCAAUCUGGUGGCCUCGAGCCAUGUUUAAUGCUCUUGUCAUUUUGCUCGUCAAUGGAGUUCAUGUCAGAUUUUUUUUUUUCCUUUUUUCCUUGUUUACAAUCGUGAAUCCGAGACCACUUGGAAACGAGCGAACAUUGAACUGAAAAUGUCGUGAGAAAUCGCCACAGCGAGCAAGGGUUGUGCAGAGUUAAGCUCAGUCAAACAAUGGUUCCGUUUUCCUCUGUUUUUUGGCAUCCUAUCCUAUAGUUACUUCUGGAUUUAGUUGUGGUGCAAGGGUGACUUACUAGCCAUUCCUGAUCAGUCCUUCGGUUAAUGCUUUUCUCUAAAUCUCGACUUGAGGAAACCUCGGAACAUAAGUUUUUGCAUUUCCUCAAAUAAUUUCAGUAGUUUGUCUCAAUAUUUUCUGUGCUAAGCUAGCUUGACAUUCUAUAUGGAAUCCAUCUACAAUGUUAUAAUCUCUUCUGCUAUAUGUGAGAAUACCCUAGAGUUGUGUAAUGCGGUCGAUGGUAUGAAAAGUGCUAGGUAUAAACAAUCGGUCUACCAACUUGGUGUGCAAAUGAGAUUUUUCCCAUCAUGUAGUCUUUUUGUACAAUCAAGUUACUAAACUUUGAUUUCAAUUGCCUGAUGCACUAACAUUAUUUUCCCCCCUAUCCAAUCAAUGCAUUACGAAGACUUUUCGAACAAUUUUUCUACGCAUUAUUGACGUGGUGUCUUACAUAUCUGAUUGGAGAUGCUAUUACAACGACAUGAUGCCAUAUGGGUCUCAAUUAAGAAAAAAGCCAAAAACAAAAAGUUUAAAAAAAGAUAGGGUUACGUGGCCCUUGUGUUACGAGGGGAGGUUCUCAAGGUGUAAGCCGAUCAGGAGGAAGCUAAAGUGAUCAUAAGUAUCUAAAUCUUUUUUUAUCCCCAUUAGAUUUUCUAAAGAUUUCUUUAAUUGAGUCCAUAAUUACUAUUUUCAUUUCAAUUUGCCCCGCAAAUUGAUGAAGGUCAAUAAGCGAUUUUAGAGUCAUGAAAAAUCUAGUUGCUAGAAGCAAGCCAAACCAACACAAUGGUAAUUUCGUCACAUAUUUUUACCGACACAAUCGUAAUUUCAUCACAUAUUUUUACGCUCAAGGGCAUUGGUUUAUUUACUAAAAUAAUCAUUACUUAUUGAAGUUUGCCUCCACUAAGAAAAAUCUCUAGAUGCAUCCAUGGAUCAACCAUAAUUUGGUCGGGUUUCGAUUAAGUUACAAUUUCUGAAGUUCAUUCCGCGAUUGAAAUGAGAAUUUAAUGAUUGAUUGCAAAAAUGCGCUAUAUAAUUCAGUCAUCACAAUUGAUUUACCCUAAAUAAGUAGGUCUUAUAUUUUGAAGGUCAGUCUUAGUGCGUUUAAUAUUGUUCUUUAAGUAAGUAAUAGUAAUAUUUGUGUUCUUUUGGAUAUAUAACGCAAUUCCAACACAAGUCCACACUUUAACUUCUGGCCUAGCCUCAUCCGAUCAAACUUUCGCAAAAUUCCCAUCAAUCAAUCUCAUUUUCCUCUUCAACCGAGAGGCCACUCGUAGCCACAAUCACCGCCUUCUCCCCAUCUUCAGUUGAAUGAAAACCUGCUGAAUGAGCGUCAUGCGAUCUUUUGCGGCCAUUUUGGCUCAGUCUUUGAAAGUUGAGCUGAAAACUUUUGGGGAAUAAAUAUCUGAAAUCAUUUGAUAUAGGACUACACACUCUGCUUCUGCUUUGGAAUCGUAGGUAAGUGUUAGUUUUUGAAUUUGUAUGUCAGAGAGAUGAACUACACACGUAUCCAUAUUCAACUGUUGAAGUUUCUGCUGUAGGCAAAGGUGAAAUCAAGACUUGAUUACGUGCAAAUGUUCUGCCUGGGUUUUCUCAUGUGAAACCAAACAACCUCAGUGUAAGCUGUGAUUUCUCCUAUAAUAGGUCCAGAAGAAAAUAGAAGAAAUGAUAGCGUAAAAUAUAAAUACUUUUUUUCUUUUGGGCGUUCCGAGAAAUUACUCGAAAGAGCUCUAUCUUUUGACAGGUGGCUAAAAAUCUGUUGUUUUAACCUGGGCCAGAUUUUUAACUAGUGCCAAUAUACAGGAUGCGGUGGCUUCUCAAAGAAGGUGUUGUAGCACUUUUUUGUGUUCUCAUUUUGACAUCUGUCAAGCUAAAAUAGAAUGUGAUGAAUGGAAAUUCACUAGCAUAUCUACAAUUUUCUUUUUCUUUCUAUAACAUUUCAAACUCCUUCGUUUAUGAUUGUUUUCUGUGAUUAUGUUUGUCUCCCAGUUACUGAUUAAUGUCUCUUUUUAUGUUACAUGGACUGCUGUGAACGGACUCUUUUUGUUUUCUCUUCCUAUUUUGGCUAGAUUGAAAAGUCUUCUACUGUGUUGAUACAGCUGUAGUGUUGCAUGCUCCAAUAUUUUCGGACUUGCUGAACGGUAGUUCUUCAAUUUAUAGCAUCGCCUCACUUCUUGCAUUGUAUCAAAUUAGGUGCUUUGAUGGUGGGUAUCUACUAUUCAUAACUAUCAAUUUAGUAAACAUCAAUUUUGUCGCAAGAAGCGUACUAUGUAUGCUAGUGCUUCAUUCUCUCUUUCUUUGGUUCUUGUAGGUAUUGGUGGCUGCUACUAUUGGUGCCUUUUACUUUGCAUAAACAAAAGGGAUACACGCUUACUUACUUCGAUUAGCUCCCACCUGAAGUAUCCGUCUCCCUCUGCACUCCCACCCUGUUCUUUGCUUAUCUUCCUAUUUUAUCAGUUUCUCAAUUAAGAGUAUUUGAAACUGAGCAAGAAUAGACUUGUGGUCACUCUUGAUGGUGAUAUUUUGUCUAAUCCAUGUCGUACCACAUCAUUAGUACGCUCAGUACUUCGUCAUGAAGCAACCAAAAACAGCAUGUAAAAGGGACAUCCUAAUUAAAGAAGGAACCACAAGGGCACUUCAAGGCUAGUAUCGCUAGUGCCUGCACAGCAAAAGGAAGAGAACUAUAGAGGGUAUAUCUAGGAAAUGUUCCAAUAUUCAAUGAGGUAAACCCAAUAUAGCUAAGAAGUUCACCCAGACUGCAAACCUAGAACAUCUGAAAAGCAAUGAAUGAUAUAUGUAUCCAGCCUCUGUAGUAUGUAGCGUUCAGCAGGAAAGCUAUGUCUAGAAAUGAAAAGCAUGUAGAAAACUACGUUAAUGAACAUGCCUCAGAUGGACAGCAAAGCUGAAUGAUUGCUUAGUUGAGCAGAACAUGCCUAUGUGAUUUAAUAACUUGCACAAUACCAUGUUAGGAGGGUAAAGAACCCAUGCAUGCACAGAAGUUAUAUGCCCUAUACACUUAAAACAUUUAGUGGACUGGUGAACCUCCCCGUUUGUCAUGAUUCUGAUCUUUUUUUUUAAAAAAUAUGAUCUGCGUGUGGAAUGAGCUACGAAACAAUUCUCGUUCAAUUGAUCUUACUGGAGAAUUAUCUGAUACUUCGGUUUGGCAAUGAUCUUGAUGCAAAAUCCUGCUGCAAUAUCAUCACCAUUUAAAAGAAAGGAAAAAUGAUAUAAAUAUAAUGGAUUGAAUCUAGCAUCAAUUGAAAGUCAAUCAACAAAUGUCCAAUUCCACGACCUCAAUUUCACCUCAGAAGCAGCUAAGAAAACUUAUAGGAAGAGGAGGGAGGAGCUGUGCAGUGAAAAGAGGAGGAACAGCUUGCUGUAGGAACUACAGUGGCAUUGCCAUGGUGGUAAUCAAUCCUCAGGUACAUUGGAGGUCGCACUUCCACCUUGUUCUUUGCUUCAUUUUUCUUUCAAUUUAUAUCAGUUUCUCAAGUAAGAGUAUUUGACACUGAGCAAGAACAGACCUGUGAGCAUGAACAAAAUGAUAACCCAUGGGGUGGUCACUCUUGCUGGUGAUAUUUGUAAAAUCCACGUCAUACCUACAUUGUUAGUACACUCAGUACUUCCUCAUGAAGCAGCCAAAAAGCUACAUAUGAAAGAGACUUCCUUAAAAUAUAAAAGAAACCACACGGGAACUUCGAGGCCGGUAUCAUUAUGCCUGCAAAGCAGAAGGAAGAGAAUUAUGGAAGAUACAUCUAGGAAAUGCUGCAAUAUUCAAUGAGGUAAACCCAACGUGGCUAAGAAGCUCACCGAAACUACAAACCUACAAAAUAUGAGAAGCCAUGGAGGAUACAUAACCAAGCCUCCGUAAUAUGUAGCGUUCAAUAGGAAAGCUACGCCUAGAAAUGAGAGAAUUUGCUCUAAGGAUUGGAAGCACAUAGAAAAGUGCUUUUCCAGACGCACCUCAGAUGGACAUCAAGUUGAAUGAUUAGCUUAGUUGAACACCCCUCUGUGAUUAAAUUCCAAUCAAACUGGUCAAAACACAUUAAUAACUUCCACAAUGCAACGUUAGGAGGGUAAGGAACCCAUGCAUGCACAGGAGAUAGAUGUUCAAUGCAUACAUUUAAAACGUUUAGUGGACCAUGUGAACCACCCUAUUUAUCAUGAUUUUGAUCUGACUACAUCAGCAAUCGAACAAACAUUAACAUAUAAGUGAACAAGAUUACAUGAUACAACCUCUUGGUUGAAGUGAUUCAUGCAGAACCAAAACAUACCCUCCAAGUUCUCAGUCUGUUCCUGUUUGUAAUGCCUAGCAUGGCAAUCACAAAAAUGGUGACUACAUUCCCACCAAACACUACGACUGUGGACACCAUUAAGGAGAAGCCAAUCCAAGAAUAGUGAAACUGCCAUACUAUUCCAUUUAAACUAGAAAAGACAAUGUAUCAAAUUUAAAUGAUAUAUAUUACUAAAGCACUCGAAAAAUCUAUUUUCAUCCUACACCUGAAAAGCCACAAACAGAGCUGCUCAAUCAAAAUCCCCUAAAACAACAUAUGCUCCAUUAACUAGUUAACGAACAAAUGAAACUACUUAAACACUAAUCAUCAUAUUACUUACUUCCAUAGAGAAUGGGCCAUAGGGACAAGAGAGAAGUGUGCGGUGAAAGCUUGUUUAAGUGCUGUGAUCAUUAUUUUUCUCUAUAGUUGUAGCGGAACUUAGCACUUGUGGAUAUAUAUUAAAACCAGUCACUGUGAGAGACAGCUCAAUGAUCACCGAGUCGAACUAAAAGGGCUUAACCAAAAAUUUGAAAGGCAAGAGCAUCACAUGAUCUGUUCUAAAUUUAGCAUCAAAAGUCAUUGCAUCCAACACAUAUCUAAAUAUACAAAAAUUACAUAUUGAGAAAAGAUUCAUUGAUGAAAAUAUGUAGAUUGAAGCCCCGAUCAAGAUAAUGACAAAAGAUCAGAAACACCACAAGCGCAAGCCGAAAGUGAUUCGUCAAAAAAGCUAUGGUUUGCAAGUAAAGCGAUUGGAAUGAGCUACGGAACAAUUAUCAUUCAACUGAUCUUGUCGGAAGAGUUUUUCAAUACUCCGAUUUGGCAGUGACCCUAAUGCAGAAACUUGCUGCGAUAUCAUCACCAAUUAAAAGAUGCAAAGGAAAAAAUGAUAUCAAUAUAACGGACUGAAUCUAGCCAUCAUCAAAAUUCAAUCAACAAACGCCAAAUUCCAAGACCUCAAUUUCGCCUUAGAAGCAACUAAACGAAAAAAAAAAAAAAACCUACGGGUUGGGGAAGGGGGAGGAGCCACGUGGUGCUAAGAGGAGGAACGGGCCACCCUAGGGACUACGGUGGCGAUGCCAUGGUGGCUCUCGAUCCUCAAAUACAUCGGAGAUCGGACAUCACAAUGACGGCGACGACUUGGUGUGAGACAGAGCAGAGGAAGAAAUGGAGGAGUUUCCAAGAAGUGCAGCAGAAGGGAUCGGAGAACAUGAAAUUGAAAAGGAAAAAAGUAAUCCUGAUUCAUUUGGGACUUUUUUUUCUUACCCAAUAACAAAUUUCAAACAAAAUUGCUUCAAUUUAAAUCGCUAGAAAAUGUCCAUUGCAAUGAAUAUUGACCAGUUGGCGAGUUUGAAUUCUUAUUUGAUAUUGACGUGAUCAUUCCACACUCUUAUUUACAACAAAAUCCGCUCUAAACUAGUUUUUUUUAGAAAAAAGAUGAUCUCGUUUUAGAUUUUUAUUUGAAAUUUUUCUUAAAUUAUGUAAUGGCUAUUUUAGGGAGAAAUGCUGACUCAUGCGGUCCUCAAACAUGAAAAUGAGAAGGGUGAGGGGGAUUCUGAGGGUGGGCCCCACCAUCAUCAGGAAGCUUGACAAUAUAAAAAUGGAAGAGCUGGACUUCAAAGAUUUGCAUAAAGGCUUGUUCGGUGAUGGUUAUUGAUGUUUCGUUAUUUCAAUUUUUGAUGACUUGGCGUGAGAGGAAGGAGAUGAAGCGAUGGAGGAGUUUCUAAGGAGUGCAACGGAAGGGACUGGGAAGAGGAAACUGGAAAGAAGACUUAAUCCCAGAAUUUUCUUUAAUUUUGUUGUAUUAUAAAUUUCAAACAAAAUUACCUCAUUAAAAUAGUGAGAAUGUCCAUUGCAUUACAAUGAAAAUUUGACCCAUGGACGAACUCGAAUCCAUAUUUAAUAAUUUCUUUUCAUUAAAGGUCUUUGUUUGAUAUUAAUUGGAUCAUUUCAUGUUUUUAUUUAAAAUGAAAUCUAUUUUGCAUUUUUUUUAUAAAUAAAUGACUUGAUUUCAGCUCUCUAUUUGGAAUUUUUCUUAAAUUGUGUAAUCGCUAUUUUUAGCACCGGAAAAUGCUGGCACCGGGGGGGGGGGGUUCCCGAUGGUGGGCCCAUCAUUAUCGUCUAUCCACGUGAGGUGAAACUCUCCGUACAUUUCUUUUUCUUGAUUUUAAACUUCCUUGGAAAAUAGUUUUCCAAAAAAAAAAAAAACUUGGAAAAUAGAGGAGCUAGUUUGACUCUUGGACUUCGACUUGGAAAAGCUUUUGGACUAUUAUCAAAGAAAAAAUUGUUGGAUGAUGAUUAUCGAUCUUUUGUUAUUUCCAUUUGGAAGGGUUUUGAUACUUUAUAAUCUUAUUUAUGUUGAAGUCUUCUUCUUUUCAACUAGAAUUAUCUACAUGAAAUGAUGAUUUUAAAAGAUACACAAUUUUUAAAAGGCAUUUGCUUAUAAAAUUUCUUGCCUUAAAUCAAAAGGAAGGUUAAUGCAAUCCAUUCGUCCCCUCAAGGCUCAAAUCCAACAAGAGGAGGGGGAGGAGCCGUGUGGUGGAAAGGGGAGGAACAGGUUGCUGUUGUGGCUACGGUGGUGUUGCUGCAUGGCUGCCAAUCCUUAGGUACAUCAGAGAUCGGACUUUUCAAUAGUGGCGACACGCUGGUGUCAAGGGCGAUAGCAAUGACUUGGCGCAGAAGGGAGGAGGGGAAGAAAUAGAGGGAUCAGAAAACAUGAAAUUGGGCCACAAGCUUAGACUUUUAUUUGAGGUUAAUUUGGCAACUUUAUAUCCGAACUUAUGAAGCAAAAUCGACACUUUUCUUUUUCUUGCUUUUAAGCUUCCUCUAUAUGAAAAUGGAGGAACGACUUGAACGAUUUGCAGAAAGAUUUCUCGACUUUGACCUAGAAAAACUUGUGGACUAUUAUCACAAGAAAAUUUAUUAGAUGAUGAUUAUUGAUCUUUCGUUAUUUCAAUUUUGAAGAGCAUCGAUGCUUUAGGAUCUUGUUUCUUUUGAGUUCUUCUUUACAACCACAAUUGUUUGCAAAGAGCAUUCAUAUGAUACGCAUGGCAAAACAAUUACCAAUCAAUGUUAUAUUUAUUCAUGAUUAGUCAAUUAAACAAUUUUUACACAAUUUCUAUUAAGGCUUUGUUCAUUUCGCGAAAAAUAUCCCGUUUCUAAAAAGUGUUUUCCAAGAAACCUUUUUUUAGAAAAAUGAUUUUUUUUUUGUAUUUGUUUGAAACUUGAUCAUGAACUAGAAAAUAUUUUCCGUUGUUCGGUUUGGAAAAUUCAAUUUUUUUUUGGUCGAUGGAAAAUUCAAUUUGAUUUCCCUUUGUUCAUUCAUUUUAACAAAUUUUUUAUUUUCUUAAAAAAUCUUUUUUUUUGUUUUUAUUUUUCUUUCUAUUUUUUUUCUUUUUUCUCUUUUCUUUUCCUCCUCCUUUCCUCCUCCUUCUCAAGUCAAUCGCCAUGGCCACGGCAAUGGCCGGUGAGCUCCAGGUCUCGAGCCUUGCCAAAUCAACAAGCGAGAGGCUCACACUCGUCGACUUGGCAAGGCCCAAGCUUGAGGGCUUGGGUCUCACUAAAUCGGCAACCGAGUGAGUUGCUCACCAUAGGCUUGCUCGAUUGGCGAGUGGUGAGCCUAACUCGUUGAUCUGGUGAGGCCUGAGGUCAGCAAACUAGGGACUUGCCUAUGGCUGGUACAAAAGAAACAGAAAAAAAAAAUUAAUUAGAAAAUAAUUAAAAAAAGAAAGAUAGAAAGGAUAACAUGGGUGUGAGAUAAGAGAGAGUGAGUGAGAAAAAUAUUUUCCCAAACUUAAAAGGUAAAAAAUAUUUUCCCUAUUAUAGAAGACCUUUUUUUCAUUGAUAAAAAAUAUUUCCCAGUUUAGUUCAUUUUCUGGAAGUUGUUCUUUACGAAAUAAAUGAAACUUAAAUUCCUCAUUGUUCCAUUGUGGAAAAUGGAUUUCAAGUCACGCCCCUUACCCUCGGCCAUGCUGCCAAAUGAUAUCAUAUCGUAAGAAAGUCCCCCAAUGUGGAAGGAGCAGCUUUACUAUUUCUAUUAUUGUAGAAAUGGGAAGUAGUCUAUGCAGAUCGAGCCAUUCUGAGUUGGUUUUUCAUGGUCUUCUACUUCAAAGACCUCUCAUUACUCCUAAAUUAGCCCACAAAUAAUUUUAUAACUAUCCUUUUUCAAAAUGGUGAUCCCGCAUCUUUUAUGAGUUAUCUGGUAAGAUCUUGAGCUUAAAUCGCCAUUGGUAUACCUAGAGCUCGACUAUGAUUGCUAGCGCUUACAGUACCAUGACCGUUUUAGUAGUUGAUGUCCACUCAUUGGAGAUUUUUUUUCAUCUAUAUUGUGUUUAUAAAUAAUCCAAUAGAAAACUAAGAUGAUACUCAUUAAUAACAUAUAUUAGAAAAUGAUGUUAGCUAUUAAUAUCUUUCAUCCUCGAGCACUUUCAAAUAGAUAAUCCUUGGAUUUCUUUGACUUCAAAUCAUCACCUUCUUGCUCUUUGCCCUCUUAUUUUAUCUUUUGAUUUCUCAUUUCACUUAUAUAAUUUCAUAGCUUGGUUGUUCAAACAUGUAAAUGUGCAGAGUAUUCCUGAUGUAUUCAUUAAGCAACAUAUUCAGGAAAAGCAAAGAGCAACUCUUAGGUUCCGACAUUGAAGUUCAUCAGGAGCUAUAGACUCAUCAGAGGGGCUCUGUCUCUGUCCUUUUGUUCCAGUUGAUGUGCAUUUCAGAGAGAAACUCAUCUGCGUGCAGGCAAUGUCUGCAUGAACGAAUGAACAAAGAUAAUCACCUGAAAGCCUGCAUUACUCGUUACUUGGGUACCUCCACGUAACAAUGUGCUUUUUCUUCUCGACAUUUAUCAAAAAUCCACAAAGACACUUCCUCAUAUCUCUAUGUUUUGUAUUUCCAGAGUCUUUAUGCUAAUUUGCGAUCAUAAGAUACAUGUAUACAAAAACAAAUGCAGCAAUUGGCCUAUCAUCAACAGAGAAGUUGCCUAGCUCACUAAUUUCCUACCCCCCACCCCUUUUUUAGGAUAGAAUGAAACAACACAUAAUAUUGAUACUAAUAACCAUGAAGCAACGCAGACUAAAUUAAUCCAACCCCUAGAAUAGCAGAGCACGUAAUCAACAAAUUGAAUUCAACAAGACUGAAUCAUAGACUAAUUACCCUCAUUAUCAAAUGGAACAACAAUUUAGAGAACAGCAAUUAAGCUAUGCAACAAUAGAUCACCCAUCAAAGUUAUGAGGGCAAAGAGACAUCGAAUAGCAAAAGCAAUUACUACUUCAGAGCAGGACGAGCAUGUCCAGAAUGUGUGAAUGGUUGCUUACCCUUUCGAACAAAAGAAGUAGACAUGAAAAUUUCUGAGGCUAAAACCAAAAAUUACAAGCUGAGUUAAUCAGAGCAAUAAUGAUGGUCCCAUCUUGCGUCAACGAUGUUAUCAUGGGUAUAUGUGCCAUGUAUUAUCUCAUUUUUCUGUGCUUAUGUUGAUCCCGUCAUAAAACUAAUAUCAACUGAAAAGGAGACUUCGAGUAAACACCGAUUGAAUUUGCGACCACGCAUAAUAUUCACGCCUUGACAACAACGCAUUCAAAUAAUGCAACUAAACAGUCUGUGUUAAGAAAUUAGUGACUGCCAAUCUGAAAAAACCAGAGGAUGAGGAAGCACUUUGGUUGGAGGGACAUACCAGAAAUGUUGCACGGAUCAUGAGCAACUCUCAUUUUGCACACCCUGGGCCAUUCUCGCAUCUGAUAGAGUCAGAGAGUGAUGAGCGAUCUAACGAGGUCAGAUCCAGUAAAGCUUCCUCUAGAUGGGAUGGCGACAUCUUCACGAGGCUUGGGAAUGAUGGGCACUGACUCCUGCUGCAGCUCCUCUUGAAACUAUAGGGACUGAUGUAUUGCCAGCCGACAUGUAGUUCAUCUUUUCAGCAGAAUUUAUAACUUGUUCAACUGCCUACAUAGCGAAAUUGAAUGUCAUAAACUCCACAACAGGCCUGAGACCAUAGAAAGCAGCGCCGAAUUCAACUCCAGCAAAACCAGCCUCUGUGAUCAACAACCCUCUCAGGUCCAUACUUCUGCCAAAAAAAAAGAACCUUUAGACACAUCAAAAGACUCUAGGAUCUGCAGACAUUUCCCCAUCAAACGCAGCAUUCAGAGCCUCCCUCACAGUCAUCUCUUUCCCCGCAGUAGCAUUACUACGUAAGGGCAUUUCUGCGGCACAUCAUGCACUCUCGAACUCGAACUUGCUCGCACGCCAGAUAGAGCUCGCUGAUUCUCUCUCUCUCUCUCUCUCUCUCUCUCUCUCUCCUUGGAAACAGAGUCCAGCUUUGUCAUUCCAUCAAACACCUUCCUUGCAAACUCGACAGAUUUUUCUCCGACCAGAUUUCUUUUUCGCAUCUCUCUCUCUCUCUAUACAUAUACAUAUAUCCAUAUAUGUAUAUGUAUAUCAUCCCCACGGUGAACAACACCAUCAGAUUCCAUACUCGAGUCGCGGCCACUCUGAUUCAAGCCGUCGCUUUCCUAUCCGUGUCCAUGUCUGGACCAGAUUUAUCUUUGGCCGGGCCAUCCCGGGCUCACGCCGCCGUCACCACUGAACCAUUAUCAGGGCCGUUUCAUUUCCAAGACGAAUUUCGAUUCACUCCAGAACAUGUGCUGUCAACUCUUGCUUCGUUCUGUUCGCUCCCACUUCAUCGCCGGUUUCCACCGUUUCGCCCGUGCACGCCACGCGCAAAUGGGGAUGCGGGGUGGCGUUCGCUGUUUACAAGAGCCUUUUAUCCGAUUGCCAAGGCUGAGGUUGGAUGGAUCAUCAUCAUCAUCAUCAUCUGGAUACGAUCCGCCGAUUCGAGGGAUGAGAUUCUUUGGGUUUCGCUCUCAGCACCUCCAACGGUCCCGCGUCGCUUCGUCAACCGCAGCAGCCGAGGCCAAUCUGAGUCGUCGUCGUCGUCAUCCGAGACGAUACGCCGAGCUUGAAGAUUGGCGGGGGCGAGCAUGAACAGAAAAGCAAAGGAGAAUUAAAAAAGACGCCGGUGGUUGUUCUUUGGAUGAUUAAGGAAUUGAGUUUGAAAAUAAAAUAAAAUAAAAUAAAAGGGCAAAAAGAAACCCACCGUCCUUUUCGGAAAAGCCGGCAAAAAAUGUCAAAUUAUAUUCAGUUUUCGUCGUGCUGAUUUUUCUUUUUGUUAUGUCAAAAGCUCAAAAUUAUAUCCCUCUAAAUUUUUUUCUUCGUGUCAAAAAUCCUAAAUUUAUAUUAAUAUGACACAUUAAACUUCUAUCAAAAUUUCGUUUGAUAAUUUUCUAUAUUUUUUUUUGGUCGAAGUUGUUCUUAUUCAAUUUUACGUCAAUAUCAUUUACCUUCAAUUUUCUAACAAUACUUAUUGAUAGAGAACAAACGUGUCACAUAAGUAUAAUUUGAAAUCUUUGAUGAUACAAAAAAAAAUGAGAUAUAUGUGUUAAAGUGAGCAUAGUUUUGGAUAUUUGAUGGCUUUUGCCCUUUUUUUCUCAGCUUCAUGAACAAUCAGUCAUAACUCAGAACCAAGAAAACAUUAAUCUCUCUCAUGAAAGCAAGCAUUAACUUGUCGCCUGCCUGGCGAGUUGUUCUUGUCCCUUUUACCGUUAGGAAGGCGUUUUUUCUUUAGAUUUGCUCAUACGAUGAAUUUGCAGCUUAAAAUCUGCUUAUGUAAAUCGCACAAGUCUAUCAACCGCAACUUGUUCUCACUUGAAUAAGCAGUGUUUUAAUGUCACUUGUGAAAAGAAAAUUCCACUUUUAUCUCUCGAACUUCAAUUGAGUAGAAAUAUAUUUAAUGCCGAUAGCUAAUUCGACUUAAGAUUUCUAUUUAAAUUCCUUCUUAUUGAAAAAUUGACCCAAUGUUAUUGCUUGUUAAGGGCGGACAACGACCAAUGGCGUCGGAAAUGAUUGGAUUCCAAGAUUUCAAGAAAUCUUCGACUGGGAAUGGAUCGUCGUUUUAUUACCAUAUAGGGUGGGCUAGAGAAGCCGAUUGGGCUUGAUGGACCUGACGAAAUUUUAUCUCGUGAGAACUAUGUGAAUUGGGCCACGAACCAGAAAAGCCUCCAUUUUGAAACCCCAUUAUAUUCUAAAUGUUUUUUUGGUUUCUAAAUUUGUUUAUUCUUUAUUUGUUUUUUUAUCUAUUCUUUUUUCGCUCUCUUUUGUUGUUUUUGCUAUUUUCUAUUUUUGUACUUUCAUAGGAAUAACUGCUUGAAUUGUUGACAAAAAUUCAGGUGUUAACAACAUGCGUGAUAACACUAAGGUCAGUGCCAUGGAAAGCUCGGUAUUUUCAUAAAUUGAUUGAUUAACAAGUGCCUUUUGCAUUGACUAGCACAUUCCCCAAAAAUAUUUUCUGCAAAACCAAAAAUCUUAAAGAGGGCGGGAAGAAAAAGCUCCUCCCUCCUAAAAAUAAGCCAAAUUUAAGAGUAUAAGAAUCAAAAUUAAAUUCUAUAUCGGCAUUACCAACAAUUUUUAUUAAAUUGUUACUCCCCCAUCUCCUUGCGGACUCAACUCUAGCUCUGAUACACAUGAAGUAAUUUGAAUGUGAUAAUUCUUAUUUUUGGACCCAAGAUCUACCAUUAUUUAAAAUGGAGGAGUAUCAGAGAAAGCUUCUCUUGCUAGUGCAAAAAUGUGAGCAAAAUCAUGAGAUAGGGCUUCGCUUCUGAGCCAAAAGAGGGUCGGCUAGCAAGUCCAAGUUGAAGAUCGGUAGCAUGGAGCUUCUUCCGUCAACAAAGCCCUAAAUCCAAAAUGUUCAAGCACCACACUGUCAAUUUAUGGGGAAAUUUGAAGAGAUAAGGCUUCUUGAAUAUUCUAUCUGCGUUGCUUCAACUGAUUAAGUAUAGAUAGAUUCUCCAAUUUUUCUUCGAACAAAGGAUUUUACCAAUCUUCUCUUUCUGAUGGUAACAACUAGAGGUGUCAAUGAGGUUGGUUUUCAAUGGGCUUGUUGUCAAUGCAUAUUGUAAAUCUUGCUAUGAGAAUGAGUAAUUUGCUUUUGAUGCUUGAUUGUGCAUUGCUUCCCGAAAAGACCUAAUGCAAAGAUACUUAAUGUUUUAUAAGAGAUGAUUGUGGAUUUAUUCGAAUAGAAGGAGAAGGUUUGACUGAUAGAGGCUAGAGAAAAAGUGAGAUCUUGAGAGGAUAACAAAUCUUGAAGAGAAGAUUUGGAAGAACAAAGUUUUUUGAAGAGGAUAUAUCUAGAGGGAAAUCUUGCUUCUUAUCAACAUGAGUCAGGGAUGGAAUGACUACGUGAUUGGAAUUUGGUUUGAGUUGGAGAUGUCAAAGAGAGAAUCAAAGGAGAGGACUCGUGUUGGAAAGAUAGUUUUACUUGUGACGUUUAUACUAACAAUCCUAAGUGUUGAAGUAAAAAUAAAAAGUUGUUUGACAAUCACUAAAUAUUUGGAAUUCCUUUCCAAACAUAGAACUAUGAUCAUAACCAGUAGGCCAUAAUCAUACAAUUGGGAAAUUCUAAUUAUUAUCAAUUGUUUGAAAGGUCUUGUGUUGAUUGCUUACUGGUUAGGUGGUGUUUUACGGCUUUGCUCUAGGAUUGGCAAACGGUUUGGCUCGGCUUGAGCACAACACGGCCCUCAGUAGCCAUUUGGUUGGCUCCGAAUAAUUAAAAAUGGCCCAAAGGGCCAGGCCCUUGGAGCAAAGAAUUUUUUUUUUUAAAUGCUGGCAUGAAAUGAGCACUUUAGUUUAGUCAUUUAGAAGUCUGGACAUGAUUUGAGCAAAAAAGUCAUGAAUACUUAGAAAAAAUGGAAGAGUCUAAUCUAAUGUAAAGGAACUUCUACGCACUCCUUUAUUAUCUUAGCACUAAAUAAUUCAUGAGCAUUUAAAAAAAUGUUUUAUCAUAGAUAUUACUUUAAAUUAUAUUGUAUUGGACAAAUCAUAAUAUUCAGGUAUACACAUAAUUGAGCAGUACAAAUAUAAUGAGUAGGCUAAACUCAUCCAUGAAAUGUAUGCUGACUCAACAUAAAUUUGGAUACAUUGCACUCAUGAAUUAUUGCUAAAAAAAAAAAUUGAUAACAGCAGAUGCACUAAACCACUUGACUUUGUCUGGGAGCACAUGAGAUUUGCCACAUAGUUAGUCAUAUUAAUUACACUAAAUGUUUCAUAAGAUCCAUAUAAUUUCAUAAUUUAAUACUACAUAACUUUAUUAUGUCUUUAGCUCAUUCAAAGAGAAUCAACAAAGUGAAUUAGACUAUGGGCGUGCAUGGAAACGUUUCUAAGAAACGUUUUCGGCACACUUCUGUACGGAAAGUGUGCCCGGGAACAAAAAAGGAACAGAAACGCGUUUGGUUGCGUUUCUGUUUCUUUUUUGUUUUUUUGUUUCUGAAACGAAAUAAGAACAAAAAAAAAAGAAACAAAAAAAAGUUGUUUCUUUUGAAAAGAAACACUUCUUCAACGGAACAAAAGAACAAAAACCAAAGAAGCAAAAGAACAAAAUCGGAACAAAGGCGACGAACUCUUCUCCUUCGUGCGUGCUCGUCGCUCCUCUCGUCGGCUGAAGCUUCAUUCUUCCUUUUCCGGCGUCUCUCCCAUCUCUCCGGCGGCUCCCACUCGGCUGACUCUCCGGCGAUUCCUCACUCCGGCGACUCCAGGUACGUUUCCGGUCAGCGUUGCUCCCCGUUCGGCCCUCCUCCUCCGGUCAGUGUCACUUCCCGUUCGGCCCUCCUCCUCCGGUCAGCGUCGCUCCCCCUUCGGCGCUCCUUCUCCGGUCGGCACUGCUCCCCCUUCGGCGCGGCAAGCCGUCCCUCGAGCGAGCGUUGCUCGCCCAGAUCUGCCGCGCCGAAGGGGAGCAACGCUCACUCGAGCUGCAGCUCGAUCUGCAGCUCGUCGAGCUCGCCCUUCGCUCGCUCGAGCUCCAGCUGGUGCGAGCUCACUCGAGCUCAAGCUCCAGCUGCUGCGAGCUCGAGCUGCAGCUCGAUCUACUGCGAGCUCGCUCGAGCUCGAGCUGCAGCUCGAUCUGCUGCGAGCUCCAGCUGCUGCGAGCUCGCUCAAGCUCGAGCUCCAGCUGGUGCGAGCUCGCUCGAGCUCGAGCUGCAGCUCAAUCUGCUGCGAGCUCGCUCGAGCUUGAGCUGCAGCUCGAUCUGCUGCGAGCUCGAGCUGCUGCGAGCUCGCUCGAGCUCGAGCUGCUGCGAGCUCGCUCGAGCUGGAGCGAGAGCUGCUGCGAGCUGCUCGAGCGAGAGCUGCUGCGAGCUGCUCGAGCGAGCAGCAGCAGCUCGAGCUGCAGCUGCUGCUCCAGCAGCUCCUCCAGCAGCUGCAGCAGCUCCAGCUCCAGCUGCAGCUGCAGCAGCAGCUCGAGCUGCUCGAGCGGCAGCAGCAGCUCGCCUGAGCUGCAGCUGCAGCUGCUGCAGCAGCUCGAGCUGCUCGAGCAGCAGCUGAUGCAGCUGCUCACUCGUGCAGUUGCAGGAGCAGCUCGCUCGAGCUGCUCGUGCAGCUGCAGGAGCAGCUCGUGCAGCUGCAGCAGCAGCUCGCUCGAGCUGCUUGUGCAGCUGCUGCAGCAGCUCGAGCUACUCCAUUCUCAAUCUCAUGUUGAAUGAGUCUAACUGUCGUUCCUCCUGCGUCAUCAUUUUGAUGCUCUCCGAUGCAGUCGCUUUCGCCUGCUCAUUUUCCCGACUCGAGCUUGAGCCCAUCUGAAAAUUCUAACUUUCUCGCCCUGCCGUUUUCAGGGUGCCCUGUCUGAAGCGGGGCGGCAUCAGGUUCACGAUCAACGGCUUCCGAUACUUCAACCUGGUGCUGAUCUCCAACGUGGCGGGCGCAGGGGACAUCGUGAGGGUGAGCGUCAAGGGUUCGCGCACGGGAUGGAUGAGCAUGAGCCGCAACUGGGGCCAGAACUGGCAGUCCAACGCCGUCCUCGUCGGCCAGUUCCUAUCGUUCUGGGUCACCGGCAGAGACCGCCGCACCUCCACCUCCUGGAACAUCGUCCCCGUUGGCUGGCAGUUUGGCCAGACCUUCACCCACAAGAACUUCAGGGUUUGACUCCAGCGUUGACCGGGGCUCAUUUUAUCAAGAUUUUUAUUUAAGGGAGACAACAUUAGGGUCCGAGACUGAUGGUUUUCUGAUUAUUGUAAGGCAAGUGAGGUAUAGAAAUGUAGCUGAAGUGGCCGCACGAACGCAUUGUAGCCCGCAGCUUAUGAUAGUGAUAGAGGGUGUGAUAUAUUUAUACUUUUGAUAUGGGUGUAUAAGUCUCGAUGACCCUAUUAUAAAUUAUAAUCAUAUGAUUUGAGAAAGUUUGUGUUUUCGUGGUCUACGUUUGGUAUUUGGAAUGGUGUUAUCUUGCUUAAGAUUGAAGGUUGGACUAGCUUAAAAAAUGUAUUUUAGUUGACUGAAAAGUGAAUAAUGUCCAUCAUGUGUUUGCAAAGUGCACCGUGUCUAUGCGAGAUAAUUACUAAAAAAAACAAAAUCCUAAAUUCAUAAUGCAUAUGUCAAAGUAAUCCUAAACUUUAUUAAUUUAGUCAAUUUAACUAUAAAUUUUUUUUUAUGAUUUAUCAAUGUAGUCAUUUCAGUUAAUUUUGGUUGAAAAUCAAAGGCGUGGACAAAAUAAAAUUAAUGAGCAUUUUAUAAGAAUGACAAUUCAAUAUCAAUUUUAAAUUUAUUAAAAAAAUAAUAAAUAAAAAAAACAGAAAUUUUUUUGUCGUUACCAAACGUGUUUCUGUUCUUUUUCUAUUCUAGGAACAAAAAUUGACUGCAGUUAUCAAACAUGUUUCUGUUCUUUUUUUAUUCCAAGAACAGUUUUUUUUUACACUUACCAAACGCGUUCUUUUGUUCAGAAAUUGUUCCCCGGAACAGAAACACUUUUUUUUGUUUCUGUUCCCAGGAACAAAAAAGAAACAGAAUUGUUUCCAUGCGCAGCCUAUAUCUCCUGGAUGAAAACUGGCCUUAAGUUCUCUUGGGAAGCAACUUCCACAUGUCGCUUCUUGGUGGCCUGUGUUCCUCGAACCACUAUCAAUCCUUUUUUCGCUUCUUUUUAGGGUUUUACUGUCAAGCAUCUUUGCCUCGAUCACCGCGUAAUCUAUUUGUCCUUUUUUCAGACUAUAAUGUUAUGAAUAUCUUCAUAGGAUUCCCAAUCGAUAAAGCUCUGUCAUUGGAAAAAAACCAUGCGCGUUGCUCGGGUCCACAAGAUGCAAUAAUUUGACUAGUUAUUAGAUAUAUGGGGUGUCCCUACUCCCUCUCGAGUCCACAUUCAUAUAGUUAAGGUUGUGAAUGUACAUAUUAUUGUGUUCUCUCAUUCUAUGUGCUUAUAUUAUGGUCUUUCAUACUUAUAUGUUACUUGUUCAAAUAUGCAUGUGGAUAGACAAUUCUCUUUGUAUUCUUCAAGGGAUAUAUUGAGGGAAAUAAUUGAAUCACAACUUUGAGUCAUUUAGACAUCAUGCACGAUGAGAUUGAGGAUUCAUCCCAUCUUAUCAAAAAGAUGAGGACUAAAUUACAUUUUCAUUUUUCUUUGUUACAUUCAACUGCAAUCACAAGAGUUUGGUAAAGUUGCUUGUAGUUUUAUAAGUCCUUUUUUCCUUCAUAUUGCCAUCUUUUAAUUGUUGUUUAAUUAAAUCACAUCUUUUAUAAAUAGCAAGUACUUGAAAAUAUGAAUUCCUAUCAACAAUAAGCAUUGCAUGGUGAACGAUUUGAUUAUUAAAGUUACUGUUUUCAAGAAGGCAGCGAUGCAUUAUUACCACCGUCCCAUGAUUGUACCAUGCUUGCAAAAGUGAGGUCCAUACGUACUCUUUUGUCUAAUAGAGCUUUGUGGUUGGAAAAUAGCUUUGCUCGUUCCUCGAACCCCUCAUCACUCCUUUUGUCACUUCACUUUAGUGACGCAUGGUCAACCAUCUUUGCCUCUGUCACCGAGCAAUCUGUUUGUCCUUUCUUGGACUUUAAUGAUAUGAAUAUCUUCAAAGGAUUCGCAAUUGAUUGUCCUGAACCAAUCGUAAUGAAGUAUACUAUACAUGAUUCAAGUUUCCACAACAUCCUUUCAACCAUUAUCUACUAUUCUUGAAAGGAAGAGUAGUCGCACGGAUACAAAGAUUUAAACCACAAAAAUUAAUGCAACAAAGUAAUGGGCUCAAAGUUACUUGUAUGAUCUCAGCCAUUGAAUGAAAAAAAAAUUGACAUCGAUUGUUGGAUUUGGCAUGACCAUUUUGUCCUACCAAACCCUGCAGCGCGUAUCUGACGCCAAAAGUAGUAAGCUACGUUAUAUCACCAUUAUGCUAAUUCAAUUUGUGAACCAUAGUUUGGGUUCUCUAGCUUUAACCUUCUGAAAUGAGGCAACUACAACUAAAAUUCAAUGCACAGCACACUGCUUAUGAAAAUUGAUAUUAUCAAGUUGCAGAAUUUAAAACUCCAUAGUUUUCUUCCUCUCUUUUUUCUGCACUUUGGUUUGACUAUGAGUUAUUGUAUAAUAAAGAAUUAAUUGAAAAAAGUUUCUUGAGAAGCUGUGGAAAUGAUCUCUCCAACUCAAUGCUUUUCAAGGCUCUGGUCAGUUCAACCGGGACUGUAAAACUAGAAAAGCAAAACAAUAACAUCUUCUUAUUGUGGAAAGGGUGUCCGGGAUUUACGGAGCAUUACUCCAUUGGUCAUGUUCAUCUCAUAGUUUUCAAAUAUAAAGGGAACUCCUCUUUUCACCUAAUAUUAUUCAACGAGAGUGUGUAGAGAUAUUAUGAUGAUAUACAGCUGCACAAAAACGCAACUAAUUUAAACUAAGCGUGCAAUUCAGUGAUAUUGUGAACAUUCUCAUGGCUACUUAAUACGUGCAUGAGUUCAAUCAAACAUCGGCAUGGCUUUGGCGAUUUAUUAAAUGAGAUUAGCAUAGAUUGACAUGUAGCUCCAAAAUUAUGGCACCCCAUCAUUCAAUUUCACUUCCUACAAGGUCAUAUUAGUAUAUAAAAAAUAGCAAUAUGGACUAGUCACAUAAUGAUAUGAAAAAAAUUAAUUGAAAUAUGAAGAACAAAAAAAUGUCGUAACAAUUAGCCUUGUCCUGGUCACGGAUCAGGCUCUGUCCAGUUGUGACUCAUCUAGUCUAGUGAUGUCCAUGAUAUGAAGGAAGUUCUUAAUCUCUACGCGCAAAAACUAAUCGAUAAAAGAUAAGUCUUCGAUCUCCAAAGGAUGCGAAAACAUGAGUUAGACUUUAAAUUUUAUUAUUGGUCGAAAGCUAGACUUUAAGUUAAUGAUGAUUUGAAAGAUUUAAACAAUAAUUUAUCUAGAACGAGCGACUGAUCUGAAGAUAUCAUCUAGAAUAAGACGCGAAAAGGCUCCAAAUCCUCCUCAGAUCGAUUGUGCGGCUCCCUUUUUCCUCUCGAUGUGUCUUUUCCCCCUUGGCUUUUCUCGGAUUCCCUUUCUAUUUCGGUGUCUGCAUAAGGCCGGUCGCGUCUCCCUAAGUGAAGAGGUUGAUUAGUCUAUUCAUGCUAGGAUCUCUGCCUUCAUUUCCUUGAAAUGGACGAGAGAUCUUUUGAAUCCCUUGCACGCGGAGCUGAAUGGUGCUUCUUACAAUUGCCAAUAAGUACGUUCCGCGUAUAGUAAAUAAUUAAUGGAAAAUCAGGAUAGUCCGCUGAACACAGUUUUUUUUUUUUUUUUUGGUGCUUCGAGAAAACGUGAAGGCUUCAUUCUUUUUUUCUCUUUUUGCCAGAGAUCCCCGGCUCUCCCUUCAAUUUUAGUCAAACCUCUUACUCAUUCUUCCCCUUUGUCAAUUGCAUGAAAGUUACUCCCUUCCUUUGUCAAUUUCAGCAUCCCCACGUCCCACAAAUGCCUUGAUUCAAACUCUGCUUAAGCGAGGAAUCAUGCCCAAGUAUGGUAUGAUUCCUUGCCAAUAUGAUUCCACAUUAAUCCGUACCAUAAUGACUUAAAAUUCUUGCUUGAAAUUUUGAGUUUAUUCUUACAACUAUUGUUGGCAAAAAGAAAAAAAAAAAUGAAAAAUGAAACAACUUCAAAUUUUCCUUAUAAACCAAGUUUUCCUUCUAUUUAAAAGCGUGAUUUGAGGGGUUCUUCGUCAAAUAUGUGAAAAUUGGAGAGACAAUACAUGAAAAGUCAAGAAAGGGUUUAAUUAGUCCAAGUCAAAUAUGUCAAUAGGUAGAACACUAUCAAAAUUCAAUAAAUAUAAAAUAUAUAUAUAUAUAUAUAUAUGCAUAUAACAUGGCCAUUUUAUGUUUUAUUAAGUGUUUUCUUUAUUUUUGAUUUAGAAUUUUAUGUUCUUUUGAAAUAAAAAGUCUAACAACAGAAGUUUCCAAUCGAUUAUAGCAUUAGGAAAAGAAUAUCAAGCAAUGUCUAAUUUAUGACAUGUAGCAGCUCUCUAUAUGGUGGUGGGAUUAUUACCAGAAUAGUAUGGAACCUAUUGCAAUUAUGUGAAUCAAUUCUAAACUUUUUUUUUUUUUGAUAAAUUCAGUCCCAAACUUUUUGAAUUUGUGCCACUUCAAUAUAUCCAAGCAAUUUUAGCCGACCGACACCGACAUGAACUUUCUUAAAUAAUUGUUUAAUAAUUUUUUUUAUAUUUUUAUAUUUUCUUUUCUUAAAAUUUCCCCCCUUUCCCUUAAGGCCAUGACAGCCUUGCUCACCUAGACUGGGUGAGGGUUGGGACGCCCUCGUCCAAUGCUAGUGAGUGCAUCUCGGCCAUCACCUGCUGACCCUUGCUGGCCCUAAGCUAUGUAGCACGGACACUCUCCGGAAAGUUUCGUGUUGUGUCCGACACUCCGACACAUGUCCGACACGCUCCGACACGUGGUCAAUGAGUGUCGAAAAAUCCAACAUGUCGUCAACUCUCUCCAACACACUCUGACAUGCGAGUCCAUAAUUCCGACACUCGAUUCCGACACGCACGGGGUUAAUUUUAAAAAAAUUAAUACUUGAGGGGUCAAAAUAUAAAUAUACACAAAAUAAGUAAUAAAAUUGCUAUAAAUAUACACGCAUGAGGUCAAUUUUUUUUUCAGUUUUUUUUAGAAUUUUUUAUUUUUUUAAAAGUCUUUUACUAUGAAAGAAGUAAUAAAAAAUGCUAUAUGUGAUAAAUAAAUAAAUUUAAAAAUAUCAUUUCAGCAUUUUUCUUUAAACAAUAUUUUUUCCUCUAAGUUUUGUGUAUUAUUGUAACAAAUUAAAAUAAUGAAUGAUAUUAUUUGAUAUUUUUCGUGUAAAUUAAUUCUAGGCUGUUAUUAUUAUUAUUAUUAUUAUUAUUAUUAUUAUUAUUAUUAUUAUUAUUAUUAUUAUUAUUAUUAUUAUUAUUAUUUAUGUAUUUAUAUAUAAAAAUAUAUUUAAUAUAUAAUGUGUUGGCGUGUCGUGUCGUGUCUUGUUAUGUGUCGCAUGUCCAUGUCGGUGCUACAUAGGCCCUAAGUGAAAGGGGAAAAAAUUAAAGAAAAGAAAAAUGAUAAAAGAAAAUUCAAAAUUUAUUAAAAUAUUAUUUAAAAAAGUCUACGUCAGCGCUGUCAAUGCCAUGUCAGCACCAGUUACCAAAAUUGGCUAAAUGGAUUAAACUGGCACAAAUGCAAAAAAAAAUUGGGAUUAAAUUGACUAAAAAAGAAUUUAUGAUUGAAUUGACAUAAUUGCAAGAGGUUUAUAAAUUUUUUUUUUAUAGUUUUCUCUAUAUAAUAUAUAGUAGAAACUAAAGGCAUGUAUGACAAAAUUUUUGGAACAAAAAUCAAUUUUUUGCCAGAAAUUGAUUUCUCAAUUUAUAUUCCCUGGACAAGUUUCUAAGUAGAAAAACACGCUUGAUAAUGAUUCAAAAUUUCUAUUUCUAGAACAUAAAUUCGUUUGAUGACAUAAUAAAAUUUCUAUUUCUAGGGGACGAUGAUAGGCAUUUGGUAGUGGGCAGUUGGUAGCUAGCGUCUGGCCCGGCAACUGGGGAUGGGCGUCUAAUGAUCAACGUUCGGCGUCAAGCAAUCCGGAGUCAAGCAAUCCAACGUUUUGAGGCGGCCGGAUGGUCAGCGACGAGCUUCCUGCACUCCACGGGCGGCGGGUGAAUGUUAAGCAGUAACGAGAGUGAAUGAUGAAAAGAGUUUUCAUUUCUCAUUUUUGUUCUAGAAAUAGAAUAGUUAAAAAAAUUUAGCUUUUGAUUUAUGCUCCAUAUCUAUUUAUGAAAUAAAAAUCAGUUCAAAAAAUCGAAAAAUGAAGUUACAUUAACAAAUGAAUUUCUAUUCUAAAACUAUUUCGAGUAAUAGAAAAACAAAGAAAUAGAGAAAUGGAAAUAUUGUCAUGUAUUUGAUGAUGCUUGUUCCUUAUGUAGGCAAUGGUAUGAUGAUAGCAUUCGAAACUCUUACUCUAUACUUUCGUUUCCUAUGAUAUUCUUUUCUAAAUUAUUAUUUCCAAGAAACUAGCCAUGCAUUAUUAACCGAAUCCCAUGAUUAAACCAUUCAUGCAAAACUGGAGUCCACAUGUAUUCUAUUGUCAGAUGGACUUUGUCAUUGGAAAAAUGCUAUAUGUGUUGCUCAAGUCCAGGAGAUGCAAUAAUUUGUCUAGAUGUUAAGUAAAUGGGGGUGUCCCCAUUCCCUCUCAUAUCCCCAUUUAAUGAAGAUGGUGCUGGAUCUAUUACUACCUCAUUCAUUAGUAAUUUGACUUGAGAUUAUAUUAUGUGCCAAAUGUAUAGCCCAAGAGCACAAAUUUUGAAAGUCUAAGAUAGAUGACUUUCAUAUUAUGCACCCUAUCAUAUAGUUAAGGCUGUGAAUUAUAACUCUUGAAAGUAGCAAAUAUUGUUAAGUGUCGUGAAUAUAUAUAUGUAUGUAUGUAUGUAUGUAUGUAUGUAUGUAUGUAUGUAUUGUUGUGUUCUCUCAUUCUACGUGCUCAUAUUAUGGGCUUUCGUAUUCAUACAUUGCUUGUUCAAAUAUGCAUGCAUACAAUUCUCUUCGCAUUUUUCAAAGGAUAUAUUGAGAAAUAAUCGAAUUGCAACUCUUAGGCAUUUAGGUAAAUCGUGCAAGGUGAAGUCGUAGAUACACUACAUCUUGUAAAAAAAAUGAGGACUAAAUUGCAUUUACAUUGUUCUCUAUUAAGUCCGAACAAUCACAAAAGUUUAGUAGUGUUGCCUAUAGUUUUAUAAGCCAUGCAUUUUAAUUGGUGUUUCAUUAAAUCACAUCUUUUACAAAUGGUAAAAGAUGGUAGCAUUCAGUAUUUUUAGUCUAUACUUUUGUUUUCUAUGACAUCAUUAUUAAAGUUAUUAUUUCCCAUAAGGCAGCCAUUCAUUUGUUACCACAAUCCCAUGAUUGAACCACGCAUGCAAAAGUGGGGUCCAUAAGUACUCUUUUCUCUGAUAGAGCUCUCUUGUUGGAAAAUAGCUAGGCAAGUUGCUCAAGUCCAGAUAAAGUAAUAAUGUAACUAGACAUUAAGGGCGCCAAUAGUAAUCAUUAUAUUCUAGAAAUAAGUUUUUAUUCCAGAAAUAGAUUUUCCUAUUUCUACUCUCCGAAUGAAUUUUAAGCACAAAUAUGCAUUUGAUAACAUGAAAUUUCUAUUUUCAAAAUGAAAAUUCGUUUGAUAUCGAUACAACAUUUUUCCUUCUUAAUUGGCAGUAGCGAAGGACAAACGUCAAACGGCGGACAGCAGCGACAUCCAGUAGAUGUCGAAUGGCGGACGGUCAUCAACAGACGAAGACCAACGACUUGCAGAUGGCAGUGGUGCGACCAACAAUUGGUAGCGGCAAACAAUGACUGGUGGUGGUGGACAACGAGCAGCGAUAGGCAGGCCGCUAUCUAGUAGCAAUGAGGAGCGAUAAGAAUAAUUUUUAUUUUUCAUUUUUAUUCUAGAAUUAAAAAAGUAGAAAAUUUUUAUUUUUCAUUUCUAUUCCAAACUUAUUUCUAGGCUAAAAAUUUGUUUUAGAAAUAGAAAAAAAAAGGAAAUUAUGUUACCAAACGGAUGGUUAUUAUACGCAUCCUAAAUCGUGGUAUGUCCGAUCUCCUCUUGAGUCCAAGAUGCUUUUUGAAAAUGCUAAAUAGACGAAAGUGGAGCAUCAAACACGAGAUUUUGGCUACAAUGUGGAAAUAAAUUAAUAAAUUAAUGAUAAGCCAAGAUGGUUAUAACGAGAUCUUUGGCGGCAAAAUGUGCAGUGAAAUCAUGAAAGUUUGAUUGUUAGGUCCAAGCACGCCUCAUGUAGCAAGCAACCACUCAGACCCUAUCAACUUUUUCCAGUAAAAAGUAGGUAUGUUUUGACGCCGCCCUUCCUUCUUCGUCUCUCUUCGUCCUUGCUCUAUUUCACUCGUUCUUCUUCUCGGCACAACUAUUCUUCCUCCUCCUUCCUUCUUUCUCUUCUGCAUCUGCUCCUCCUUCCUCCUAUUGUCCCAAUGGCACGAUAGACAUAUGACGCGGGCACAUUUCGCACUAGACAAUCUACAGUCCUAUGUAUAUGGUCCACAUCAUCAUCAACUCCAUUUACAUGUUUGACAAAAAGGAUUUGAAAGAAUUAAGUAAAUAUAUAUAAUAUAGGUACGCAAUUGGAAGAAAAAAAAGUUCAAAGACCUACUGAUAAUUUUGGCAAAAAGUUCAAUUACUACUAUGCCUAAAUCCCUUAUUAAGUAUCAAAUACUGCUUCAAAAUUAGUUCGAGCAAUCAUCUAUUUUUUUGAAAAAUGUAAUUAAGACAACUAUUUCUUUUAUAUAAAAUAUGCAUUGCAGCUCACAAGAUAUUACCAUCGUUUGAGGUACACUCGUUUUGGUGAUGAAGUGUCCAGAAUAGCUUUAUUUAACAUGUUGCCUUAUUGAUUCGUGCCCAAUGCGCAGAGUCUGCAAAGUACUACUUUGCGGGCCAAUGCCGACACAUGUCCCUCUAACCUCCGUUGAUGUACCAUCAAGUUCCUAUCAAUCUUCACCAAAGAAGAUGAGUUUGCCCGAGAAUCCUCAAAAGGUGCGCCCAUGAGAGGGCAUUGAGUAUAUUCAAAGGAUCAAUAAUAUGAUUCUAGCGGAUCCAUCGGUAGAGACUUUUGAAGAGUGUGAAAUGGAAUAGCUCGUCAAAAUAUUUAAAAGAGAAAAGGACAAAAGUUUUGACAGCUCGACGGGUACUUCGAGUGAACACCAACACCACAUUGUGUGUACCGUGCAAGGCUUCUUGCACGGUGCCUUAGAAGCCUAUUUUAUUGAGUCCACUAUGCAUUAUUGGCGUGAGAGUUGCUCUCUUUCUCUGAAGAAAAAUCAAAGAAAAUUGGCCAUCGAUGUUGCUGUUCCAGAAUAAUAGGAAAAAUUACAUUAAACUCAUAUCAAUGACUAAUUUUUGAAAUAGCAAUAACAAAGAGACAUUAACAAAAUUCCAACCAUAUCAUCGUAUGGUAAUUUUAUGAUAUUUAUUUCACAUUCUAAUAUGAUAAUUAUGGUUCGCCUAAGAAUUAAAUAACUUCAAUUUGAUUUUGUCAAUUGAGUUUUUUUUUUCAAGUAAAGAGAAGCCUAGAGGGCCUUUCUAUCAACAAAUCUGCGAAAGAUUAUACAUGAAAAGUCAAGAUUUAUUUCCAACUAACGGUUAAUAUUAUUAGACAUAAGGAUCUAAGUUAGCCCAAGUCUAAUGUGUCAAUCACAAGAACAUUAUCAAAACCUGCUAUUCAAUGUAUAAUCUCCACAAUGGCAAAUCAUCGAGAGCAACUCAUCUCUUAAACUCUUAAGGGGACAUCACAUAUCCUCACACAACAAGGGUUAAUUAAAGUGAAGGGAAAGCUUGUUCAUUUGGGCCUCAUCAAGAGAGUUGUAAGUUUUAGCUUGAUAAUUGGUGACUCUUUUGCUUAAUGGAUCAGUGAUUCAUUGCCCUGCGAGGAGAGAAGUGGGAAAGCAAUGUUUCUUGACAGUAAAAGGACAGAGGCCAGACAAGUGAAGGCACCCGAUCAGUUCAUGCAUUUACAAAUACUUAGAUGUUUGUCUGGUAGUUGUGGACGAAAGGACAUGAAGGUAAACAUUGGUGAUGGUGACUGGUCGAGUAAAGGAACAGUAAAAUGCAAAAAUCCAUCGCAGCCUCUACAACUACUCUCUCUGUAUCCCUCUCCCACCACUAACCCUAAUUAAACCAAUCUUUUGUAUAUUUAGACAGUUGUCCAUGAGCAGUGGAAGAAAGGACAUGUAGACUUGGACACUAGUGAUGGUGACUAAUCAGGAAACAGUAAAAUGCAAAAAAAAAAUCGUCCAUUUUUCCAUAUAUAUGCUUUUUAUGAGUCAUCUAUUUCUAUCACUGAAUCUUUUAUCGGUCUAUUAUCUUUCUUGUCUCGAUGAAGUGACUGACAUAUGGUGGCCUUUUUGUAUUUUUAUUUUUGGCCAGUGACGACGUGGGGGUAGUCUGCUCAUCACUCUACUUCCCAAGUGGAAGCUCUGUCCAUACCCUAUCUCCUCUUUCCUCCUUGGGUUUUUGUAAGGUUGAUCGGUUCCUGGUUCAGUCCGGUUCCAAGGUGGAAUUGGGAACCGGACCGGAAGAAUCGGUUCCCAAUUUUGGGAACCGUAGACCGGACCGUUGGUCUUAGGACCGAGAACCGGACCGGACCAUCGGUUCCGGUCCGGUCCAGUCCGGUCCAAAAGAAUUGACACUUUAUUUUUUCACUAAGGAAUGAUCAUUUACUAAAGAAUAAUCAUACUCCGGACCGAUCAAUCAAAUUCGGUUUCCGAGCAAUCUAAUAAAACUACUCACACAUGUUUCCACGUGCAAAAUAUUCAAACUUCACUUGUGUGAAUAUUAAUCAUAGUUUAUGUGUUUCAUGCUUAAUUUUAAGCAUAAAACCCAUAAACAAUCUGAUUAAAGGUUGUGUUUGGUUUAGGUUUUAUAGGCAAUCUCUUUUCUAUAUUUCGAAUGUUUAGUCAAUAUGAGACUUUUUAAGGUUUGAAGUGCCUUGUCGUUUGCAAGUGAAGGGAGCAAGAGAGAGAGAGAGAGUGAGCAUGAGGAGAGUUUUAUCUAUAAAUAAAGAGUAACAACAAGAGUUUUGGUAGUCUCUUGGCCACAUAAGAGGUUGUUACAUAAAUUGCAAUUCCGAUUGCAAUAAGUUUUAUAUAUAAUAUUAAUAUAUUAUAUGUGUUUAUAUAUUAUAUGAAUAUAAAUUAUAUAUAAAAAAAUUUGGUCCGGUCCAGUUGGUCCGGUUCCCACCUUGGAACUAGGAACCAGACCAACCGGCCGCCGGUUCCAAGAUUAGGAACCGGGAACCGGACCACCGACCAUGGGAACCGCCCAAAACCGACCGGUCCGGUCCGGUUCGGUCCAGUUCCGGUUCGGGCGGUUUCCGUUGCACACCCCUAGGUUUUUGAUUCAUUCCCAAAUUUUCAAAUAGCUGGAUAGCUAGUAUUAAAACUCAGCCAUUUAUUAUAAAUUGUCCCAGCAAAAUGUUGCUGUUUUUAGACGCUACCAAUCCUUCAAAAAAAUUAAAAGUGAAAGAAAAAUUAAGUUUAUAAAUUAUGAAAACCCACAUAACUUUACUUGGCAAUAAAUGUAUGUUUUUGAAAGUUUUUAAAACCAAUUUGUGAUUACUGCAAUAUUUAAAAAAUACAUGUUAAAAGUGUAAGACUUGCCACAUAUCCCAAACAUCUAAGAGAAAAGAGGGAAACUCUAAGAAUGAGAGACCACAAAACAAUGUUAGUGAUCACUCGAAUUGUUUCCUAUAUUAAUUGUGUUGUAAAGAGUAGCAUUAUUAAAAAAAAGUAAACUGAUUUAAAUUGUUUAAUCUACUUAUAAAUUUUGAUCUAACAAUUCUAAACGAAGAUGCAAUAAUUUAACUAGACAUAUGAUAACGGUGCCUCCACUCCAUCUCAAGUCCACUUUUACCAAAGAUGUUCUAAAAGAAAAGCCAAAAAGACGAAAGCAUUGAUUUUUCAAUAAUGACUUUGCAUGAGGAGCAUCACACAUGAGAGACUUUGGCUACAAUGUGGAUUUGAUAGUUAUACUUGUUUUUUCUACUUUUGCUAUGAAACCUUUUCAUAAAAAAUGAUUCGGCAUUUAUCUGUUGAUUAGCGACUAUUCCUGCAAAAAAAGUUGCUAUGCGAUUAUUUUUCGACACUAGCUUUCCUUCAUCCACUUCUCUACUGGCUCCAUGAAUUUGUCUUGGAUGCUUCACUGAGAAUUGCUUCAUUAAACUGAAAGCAAAAAUUCACAAGGCUAUAAGAGAUAUAUUCCUCUCGUGAGCCUUCCUUCCCACCAGAACCUUUGAAAAAUAGUGAGGAAAAUCUUCUAAAGUCAACUAUAUAUAUAUAUAUAUAUAUAUAUAUAUAUAUAUAUAUAUAUAUAUAUAUAUAUAUAUAUAUAUAUAUAUAUAUAUAUAUAUAUGGACACACAUUUCUCACCCCAAUUUAGUUUAAAUCACAUCCCUUUACGUAAGCUGGCCAAAAUAUCCUCCACACGCAGGUGUAUCCUCAAGCAUUAACAGAUCCGCCUUAUUUUUUUUCAAAAAAUAAAUUUGCCUUUUUCAUUUUCUCUCAAAUCUAUUGUCUUGUAUCUUUUCUUAUUUACUGUAGAGAUUCUGAUUUAAAUCUUCUCACUUACUCUUCUGAUUUAAGAAUUUUUUUUAUAUAAUAAUUUAUCUAAAAAACAUCUUCUGCCUAUUAAUCACAAAAAAAAUGGCUGAUUUAUUUCAAAGAUUGGAGCAUAAGCAUGUUCCGGAUUAUCAAAUUGCAUUUACGCUUUUGUUGAACUUUUGCUAUAAUUUUUCAUAAACAUCACGACCAAAUCUUCGGUUCUUAGAUUCUUCACAUUUGAAGUUUCAUCAUUUUGUAGAAGAGGUCGCCUCAACUAGUUAACUUUGUGGGAGAUUUGCUUUAUAUGAGUUUAUAGGUUGGUGAAUUUAAGAUAAUUCUCUUCAUUCAAAUGGUUAUGGCCAAUGGUAUUGAGACAUUUAAAAUUUACUUAAUUUUUAUAGCUAAUUGAUUAUUUUACGUUUUAAUGCUAGAAAAUUUGGGAGAUCAUUGGAUGAGUGUUUCAUUUUGAGGAUUUUUUAUUUUAAGUUUGGUUUCUCUGCAUCUCUACGGUUAUUUUAAGAACGAUAGUUGUUGCUAAACAUAAGAAACACGGAAGCUCGUUGUUUCAUUCAACUUGUUGACUAUCUAAAAUACAAUUUCGUGUUGAGUAAAAGAAAUCAACAGUUUAUAAAAUAUGGAUUUUAUAUUGAAAAACUAAUGGCCACCUAGGCUCCACCUAAACUAAUAUUGUGCACUCCUGAUUAGACAGGUUACUUAUAUAACAUAAUAUUCUAUUUACUCCAUAUUACUUUUUUUAAUAACGGGUAUCGAUGCAUUGGGGAUAAAGUGACUAUCAUAAUCAAAUUGCUUUUAGAUUGCGUUUUCUUUUAGAUAAAACAUAUAAAAAAAAGAUAAAAAGAAAAGGAUAAAAAAAUCUCAUUUGUGUCUAUAGUAGGAUUACUUUUAGGGAUUAAUUUGAUGGAUGUUUUCGUCUUUAAUAUGCUAGAGAAUUUUUUAGUAGAUAAUUUUCUUUAGCCGAAAUUAGAUUUUGGCUUUUAUUUUUAGCUCACAAGAUAUUCAUGUCUCGCGGUUUAAUAUCGAUGAAAAUGUUAAUAUUAUAAGAAAGAAUAGAGAUGCCUUCUCAUGUAUUUUCCAAGGUGCCACUUGUGCUUUUCUGCCGUCGUAUGUGGGGCGCAUUAAAAAUUGAGUUAAUGGCAGACCGUGUAAAGUUACAUGUCACGUGUUCAAUUUGUCAAAAGGCAAAAUGUGGUAAAAGUUAGAACUCCGUGUCACGUGGGUGUGGCCAGUCCUCGUCCAUUGAUUUUAUUUAUUCCGAGGGCGAUGGUUUGAGUGGAAUCAUUUGUUUACAACUUCAACAGCUGAUAAUCAUCUCCUUCUUUCUCCAUUCGUUGCUAUUCGACGCGCUCCUUCCUUCAACCUGCUUUCGCGCUCAAUCUCUUCGCCUUGUUUGUCUCUCGCUCCGUUUCGAUCUUUCUUCACCUCGGCUCAACCAUUCCUCAUCCUGCUCCUCCUCUUCUUCUUCUUCAGUAUCUGUUGCUCUUUUUCAUCAUUCUCUCUCUGGCUCUCUAUUUUCUCGCUCUUUCUUUCUCAAAAAAACAAAAAAUCAAAUAAAAAUGUCGGCCGAUUCUGUCGUUUCUAUUGUAUGGGAUGUCUUGAAGAUGGUAGUUGUUCCCAUCAAGCGUCAAUUCGGAUACGUGAUCUCAUCCGAGAACUUCGCUGAGGGUCUUAGGAAGGAAAGCCAGAAUCUGGAGAACAAGGCUGAGAGGCUCCACAAUGCCUCGGAAGUGGCCAGAAACAAUCUCCGGAAUUUCUACAGGGAGUUCACGGAGUGGGAGGCAAGUGCUGAGGAGGCUUUGAAGGAGGCAGGAAUCCUAUUGGACGACUUCGAAAAGGCUACCAAGACCUUGCUACGGGACUCUUCCCGACCCCUAUUGGCGCUAUCAGUUCAGCAGGAAGGCCAAGGGCAAGAUCGAGGUCAUUAAACAACUCACUCAAAAAUGCAGUGAAUUCAAGGAAUCGAACAUCUCCUUCACCGAGCCUGCUCCGGGGAAUUUCACUGCUCUGACAUCUCCUUCAAUGUCGAUUAAUUUUAGGGACGAUGCCAUCUUCGAAUCCAGAGCUCAAAUCAUAAGGGACAUCAAGGAGGCUCUUGCCGAAAAUAGCAAUAGCGUGGUUGGGGUUCAUGGGAUGGGUGGGCUCGGCAAGUCCACCCUUUUAGAGGAAGUCAGAAGGAUAAUAAGCAAAGAGAAGUCGUUUGACUGGGUCGCUAAGGCCGACGUGUCGAAAAAUCCAGACAUCAAGAGGAUUCAAGGAGAGAUUGCGGACGCGUUGGGCCUUACUGACAUAAAGAGUAAAGAGUCCCUUACCGGGCGAGCGGAACUUCUGCACAGUAGGUUAAAAAAGGAGGAGAGGGAGAAAAAGAAGGUGCUCAUAAUACUGGAUAACCUGUGGAAGGAGCUUGACUUGAAAUCAGUCGGCAUUCCUUGCAGACAUGACAACAAAGUCACAGGAUGCAAGUUAUUGUUGACGUCGAGAGAUCAAAAAGUUUUGCAAGACAUGCACAGUGACGAGGACUUUCGCCUUCUGGGACUGUGGGAGAAAGAGGCAAAAAGAUUGUUUGAGGGAAUAGUGGGAGACGAAGUUCAUGAGGACGAGUUCAAACCCUGGGUGGAAGUAGCACUCAACAAAUGUGCAGGUGUGCCUUUCCUAAUUGUCGCAAUGGCAAAACGCCUUAAAAAUGCUGCUUUAUAUGAAUGGAAAGACACUUUGAAAAAUAUCAAGAAGUUUCAAGAUAAAAAAAUCAAUGACUUGAUAGAUCAGAUGUUGCAAUGGAGUUAUGAUCAAUUAAAAGAGGAGGUGAAGUCAUUAUUACGACUUUGUGUUGUUUAUCAUAUCUCCAAGCCUUCUCUUGAAAACUUGGUGAGGUUUUGCGUUGGGUUGAGGUUAUUUAAAGAAAUUGACAGCAUGGAAGAUGCUAGAAAUAGGUUGAGAUCACAUAUCUAUACUCUUCGAGCCUCCUCCCUUUUGUUAGACAGUGAAGAUGUUGAUGGUUUCAAGAUACAUGACUUGGUUUGUGAGUUUGUUACCUCAGUCUCUUCAAGAGAUCACCCUCUUCUCAUGUUGAAAGAUAAAGUCAAGUCAGUAACAGAGUUGUUGAAGGACAAGCCCAAUAAUUAUAGGGCAAUGUGCUUUCCCUUCGUUGACAUGGAGGAGCUUCCCCAGGAGUUAGAUUGCCCUGAAUUGCAGGUUUUUUUGUUGUUCACAAACAAUAAAUCUCUUCAUGUUCCAGAUUCAUUAUUUUACUCUAUGAAGAAAGUCAUGGUCUUAAAUCUUACUGGAAUACGUCUCACUUGCUCCCCUUCACCGUUUCAAUUAUUGAAAAACUUAUACACUUUGUGUCUUGACAAUUGUUCAAUAGAUAAUGUAUCCAUUCUUGGCGAGCUAAAAGGGUUACAAGUUCUUAGCUGUGUGAACUCCAACCUUAAAAAAUUGCCGAAAGAAAUUGGGCAACUGACAGAGCUAAGGUUGUUGGACUUGAACCAUUGUUCACAUCUUCAAAUAAUUGAACCGGGUGUGCUUGAAAGAUUGAUCAAAUUGGAGGACUUGUAUAUGGAGAAUAGCUUUAAACAAUGGAAUGCCAUGGAGCAAACUCAACCAACUAAUGCCAGUUUGAUUGAGUUGAAUUGCAUGAAAAAUCUUUUCACUCUACAUGUCUCCAUUCCCAAUCCGAGUAUGCUCCCAAAUGACCUAGAUGUUGAGAAAUUAGAAAAGCACAAAAUCCAAAUAGGAAAUGCAAGGCGCUGGUGGAAGCACAAAGGAUUGAGGAUUUUGGACCUCAAGUUGGAUCCAAAAAGCAAUGUUCUUCGAAAAGGAUGCAUACAAAGUAUCUUAAGAAAAAUUGACGAUUUGUUUUUGGACAAGUUGAAUGAAAUUGAGCAAAGUAUUUGCGCAUUAUCUCAAGAUGGUUUUCCGAAAUUAAAGCAUCUACUAGUCCAAGAUAGUCCCUCUAUCCUUUACAUCCUCCGAUGGCAUUCCUUUGGUGCUUUUGAGAUGUUGGAGUCUUUACUUCUCAUAAAUCUCAUCAACUUGGAGAAGAUAUGCUAUAGCCAUAUUUCCUCCUCCAAGUCCUUAGGUAAAUUAAAAGUAAUUCAAGUCAAAAGUUGUGACAAGAUGGAAGUUUUAUUUCCUCUUUCGUUACUAAGAGGACUUCCACAACUAGAAGAGAUCAAACUCGUUGAUUGCAAGUUAAUGCGCAGCAUUGUGGAAGUUGAUGAUUGUGGCAAAGUGGAAUUGCAUAAUUUGCAUGUAUUGGAAUUGCAUGGCUUGCCAAAUAUCAAGAAUUUUUUCAUAGCCCGGACAACUCCUUCAAGUAGUACAUUAGACGACCAAGUUGGCACUCAAAUUGCAUUCUUCAAUGGGCAACAGGUAACUUUCUAUCAAAAGAAUAUAAACUGUAUUAUUUUUUCCUACCUUUGCUAAUUAGAUGCAACACAUCUCAUGUUACUUAUUCAUUUUGUUAUUUCCAGUUCAUUUUAAUCCUAAUUACCUUAUCCGUUCAUGCCAUCUCUGCAAUUAGAUAAAUCAAUCUUCUGGUUCUCUCCAUUGUGUAGAAAUCCAACCAAUUGUAUGAAAUCCAUGUAAGCUUAUUUUGUGAUAGGUUUUGAGUUAUUUUCAAUUUAAAUGCUGCAAGUGUAUCUAUAUUAAUAAGGUUUCAUAAAGCAAAACCGAAGGGAAUUUCGGCACUAAAGUAAUUCCAUAAGCAAUUUAAAAUCUUUUGAUAUGGAUUAAUUGAAUUUAUUUAUCCAACUUUGUUAUUAUCCACAAAGUAUAUAAUAUAGGUGACUCUCCUAAAAACCAAUACGAAUAAUGGGAAUGAGGACUGGGUUUUUUAAUAAAAGCAACAUGCUAAUUUGAUUGAUGCAUGUGUUUUGUGUAUUGUGUUUAAAUAAAUGGUUUGUCAUUCCAUAGAACCCAUAAUUAUAAGAGUACAGAGUUUUUUGCAUGUUUAUGCAUGCAUGUUGUAUAUAUACUUUGUACGUACUUUUGGCAUCACAAGCACAAAUCCAUAAUAUGUGUAUAUCUUGUUAAAUUGGUUAUUGAUAGUGAUUUACUAACAUUAAAGAGAAGUUCGCAAACUAAGGAUGAUCGAUUGCCCAACUAAGAAAAGCACAUGGCUACUUUGCACGGGGGAAAAUUUUGCUGCAAGUGGAGCCUUUUUGUUGACUAGAUAAGAUGGCCUUUUGUAGUGGCACAAUUAUCACUGGAGUUGAUCAUGGGCCCAAGACCCAAAAAUAGAUUAGCUCCUGUCAGUAAAGAGUGGAAGUAAUUUAAGUUGAGGGUCCGACACACUAGUGUGGGACUCAUCUUCUUCCCCUUCUUUGAGCUUCCAUGGAGAGAAACCUUUCAAAGAUAAUGGAACGACAUCGGGGAAAUUUUAAAAGAGCCUUUGUGGCUUUGCCUUUUUUUUUUUUUUUUUAAUAUUGUAAUCUUGUAUAUUAGAUCCUUUUGAUAUAACCUUUAUACCAAGUUUUAAGAUGACGACAAAUCAUUCAAGUUCAACAAUGGGAAGCAAUUAAUCAUUAGGGUUUGUUUAGUGGUCACCCUUCCUACAUGGAAAUGGGGAGAUGGGAGGGUCAAAUCCCUACUUUCUUAUUGGAAUUGAGGUGUGGAUGUUUUAAUUUUAUCUGUGGGUUUCAACUUCUACACCCUACAAGGAGGGCAAAAGUUUAAGAGUGAAUGUUAGAGUAGGAAUAUAGUAGUAUCGAUUAAAAAAAAAAGUAGUGCAAUUACAAUGUUGAUAAAUUAGAUUGUCACGACAAAAACUAAUGGCAUUCGAUUGAAAUUGAGGUCGAUUAUUUAUAGUAUAUUAAAUUCUAGACUCGUAGUGGAGGAAACAUAGCUAACGGUUUAAGUAGCUUUAGUAAUAACAUUUAAUAGGAGAUCCUUUUGGUAUAAUCUUUACACCAAGUUUAAAGAAGAUGAAAAAUCAUGCAAGUUCAAAAAGGGGAGCAAUUACAGGCGAAAUUUCCUUUCUUAUUUGUUUUUAUCAAUAAAAAUGACGUUAGGCUGCUGUAGAUAUAUGUUAUGGUCCGAUCUGCACUUCUACGGAUGGUAAUUUACUAAAAUGAAAGAGAAUUAGUAAAUUAAGGAUAAACAAUGGCCCCAAUUAAGGAAAAGCUCGCGGCUAUAUUUUAUAUGGGGGAAAACUACUGAAAGUAGAGGGUUUUGUUUGAUUAGACAAGGUUGCUCUUUUAUAGUGGCGCGGGCCCGUGGCUCAUGCCAUAUGUUAGUUUCCCUGUUGAUAAAGAGCGGUGGAGAUAUAAGUGGUGGGUCCCACAAAUUGUGAUGUUAGAGUGCGACUUUUCUUCAACGCAUGCUUUGAGCUCCCAUAUAGAGAGCUUCCUUUCAAAUAUAAUGGAACUAGAUCAGGAAAUUUUGCAACGAGCCUUUGUGGCUUAGCCCCUUCCUUCUUUUUUUUUUUUUUUUGGGCGGUAGUCUUUGGGGCUUUUAACUUUCUAGGAUUCUAAUUCUUCAUAAAAGAGUUACUCUUGCCUUAGUACUUCUUUUUAUUUUUAUUUUUUUUGCAUAAAACCUAAGUAUGCAAUGCUCCAUGGGUUUAUAAUGAAAUGUUACAUAAAACUUAAUAAAUCUCCUCCGACAUUAUAAAGCAGUAGCAGCCUACAAAAGUAGUAGCCUAAGAUUGGCUUGUCGGGGAUGACAAUAACCUAAUGAACGAAAGACAAAAAAUUUAAACUUGUUUUAUGGGUGGGAGCGAGAGGUGAUGAUGAGAUAGCGCAAGCAACUUUGCAAAUGAAUAAUUUCUUAGAGUUAUAGCAAUGAACUUUUGGGGAAAAAAAGAAGAAGAAAAUAAAGAAAAUAAAGUUUUACAUUGUCAUCAGAUACAAUUGGAUCCCUUCAAGCUCAAAUGUUAUGGUUUCAAACAUGUUCACUGUGGAUUUAGACUCACCUUAAAGAAAUUACGACAACGAGGACUAUCAAUUAAGAUAGGCUACACAUGCACCUGAAUUUAAAGGAACACUAGAGGUAGUUUACAAGGUAUAGGAAAAAAGAAGUCCAAAUAAUCUUAAGUGAUUUACUAAUUUUCGAGGAAAGUUGGGAUCUUAGCUAGUAACUAUGACUAAUGAGUACUUAGUUAUCGCGAUACCACAGCUGCUGACGUUUUCCAACCAAAAAAAAAGACCGCUAACAUGUCCAAUUUCAUGUUAUUUCGGGCAAAGUAGUCCCAUUUUGCCUAAUCAAAUCGGAGAAAUUGAAGACACUUAAGACGAAAAAGACAAAGAAAUGCCCGUUUUGUAGGAUUUUAUCAAGAAGCAGACAAUUUCAGUGUGUGACAAGUCAUCUUGACCUUGCGAACCAAAAAAAAAAAAAAAGAGUCCUCUUGACCUAAAUGGAUGAGGAAUGAUGUCAUGUCCGGCUAUCAACUCCCUACGGUCAUAACUCUUAUUCAUAUACCAUCAUUUGUCUAAGGUUUAAUUUUUGAGUUGUGCCUGUAACAAGAUGAUAUAUAGAUAUAGAAGGCUUGAUCUCGUCGAGAUUAAGGGGACAUGAGCUGUAUAUAUCUCCAUCAAAUUGAUAUAAUUAGAUAGAUAUUUUGUGCAUCAAUUGAUUGUCAUUAGUAACCGAAAUGAGUGCUAAUUCUUGAUGAUUGCAAUUCCUGAUUUUUGCUAGUAAAAUGCGAGCAAAAUUUAAUCGUAACAGCAUCCCUUGUAAUAUCGUAACUAAAAGGUAAAAUUCAUUAGUUGUCUUUUGAGGUCAUAAAUUAGAUUUUGUUUAUGAUGGAUUUCCUUACAUGCAAAAGGUAUCGUACAGGUUGCAUAUUAUCUUGCUUGUAAAUUUCCUUUAGCAAACAUUUAUAAUACCUGCUAUAUCGCGUAAAUUUCCCUAUUGUCCUUUGUAAUUGUAAAUGCUAUUUUUGAUGGAUUUGUCUAUCAGAUCUCAAUCCCAUCCUUGGAGUCAUUGACAAUGAAAGAACUUCCUAAUAUGGAAGAGAUAUGGAGCAAUGAAUCUCCACCGGAGCUGAGCAAUCUCCGAUCUCUCCAAGUGAUGCUAUGCAAAUCUCUCUCGAAGGUUAUCAACUUUGGGUCGCUAGUAAAACUACACAAGUUGCACUAUUUAUGUAUAAGAGAUUGCAAUUCGGUGCAAGAAAUUUUUGAUCUUGACAGACCAAAUGCUAAUGGAGACGUUAAGACUUUGUCUUCGGAGUUAACCACCUUGGAAUUAUAUAACUUGGGGAGCUUGAGGUGCAUAUGGAAUAAGAAUCAUUGCGGAAGAGUGAGUUUCCUUCAUUUAGAGAGGUUGGAGGCGCAUGUUUGUCCCAACCUCAAGUUUAUGUUUUUCCCAUCCAUGGUUAAAUCUCUCGGACAAUUGAGAGAUCUAUCAGUAAAACAUUGCAAUAAGAUGGAGGCAAUCAUUAUGGAGGAGUUGGGAUUGGAAACAUCAAAAACUAUGGUAUUCCCAAUGCUAACAAACUUAAAUUUACAACAUUUGGAAAGUUUGAUGUGCUUCUCUCGUGGAAAGCGUAAGAUUGAUUUUUUUUGUUUUCGUCAUUAAAGAUCUUCUUAUAGAUAGAUUUCAGCCUUGCAAUACAAAUGGUGACAUUCUUUUCAUCCAAUGAAAAACUGAUGACAGGUUCACGAGAAGCUCGAAGUCAAGACCACAUCAAAUCAAGCUCCAAUGCGCUCUUUUGUCAACAGGUACAUGAUUUACGUUAUGUCAAAAUAACAAAUAUAACAAAAGUAUUAAAUAUGCGGGAGAUCAAGCAUAGCCAAAAUAUUUUAAAAGCAAACGAGUAGCAUACAUGCAUUAAGUGUUCAUAGUUGCCAGCAUAUAUGAGUUGCAAUGUCUUAUUUUUAAUUUCUAUGGAAAUAGUUUUCAUAAAGGUUGUUGAGCAUCUCUCAUGUUACAUGCACAAAGAAUGAUGGCCAAUACAACUGCCAAGCAAGAUCUCUCAGAGCUUUUUAAGAUUCAAAAGAAUCUUAGAUCUCUCAUGAGUCUCACAUGUACGGCUUAGCCAUUGCAUACAAGUACAUUGAAAAAACAAUCGAGAGGAAAGUGAGCAGUAAGGUUUGAGAGGUUGGAGACGAAGGGCCUUUGAAACACUCACUUGACUUCAUUUGCACUUACAAGAUCUCUCUCUCUCUUUUAACUGCACCAGCAAAAGGAAUCUGAGCCUUCUCAGUCGCCAAACUAAGCAAGAUCUCUAGGGUCCAAGGCUUUAGAAAUCACAAUUUUAAUUUUUACAUGAACCACAAGACCAUUCUAAUGAAAUUCUUGUUAAAGAAAUAAAAUACACUUUGCAAAUUAUCCAUUUCAGUUGAACCAUCUGACUUGUAGAGUGAAUAUCGGAAGAACGCUUGAGUGGAAAAUGAAAUAGACUAAUUUACGAGGGUUCACUUUGACUAAACUAAAAGCAAUAUAGGCCGUUCACCUAAAAUGAUGUUUUUGCUGCCAAAGAGGCUUUGAAAAUGUGCCCUCCCACAAGAUUAAUACGUCGACUUUCUUAAAUAAUUUUACUUUUCUAUAAUGAGAUAUUCAUGAAAAUCUUUGACUAUUUGAUUCGAGUAUAUGUAAAAUCUGUUGUUGGCAUCUAACUAUUGGAUUUUCACUGAAUUUUAAAAGGAAAAUUCAAUCGAUUAAGUAUAUUGGAUUCUUUGAAGUGGAGAAUGAUGUGAGUAAGAUUUGGUCGUCUAACACAAGCGAUUCCUUUUUCAAUUGCUUUUUCUUAGCCUCACUUUUUAAUUGAUUUAAAGUGAUAUAAUAUUGAUUAGAGCCAUUCUGUAUUAGAUAAAAUCACACCUGCUACUAUAGUGCACCUUUUGAUGGCUGAUUGGUGAGCUUUUUAAUCUCAAUCUCUCUGUCAUUUUCUUUCUAAUUCUAAUAUUCUUCCUCAGGCCAUCCUCAGCUUCAUUUUUCGUUCACUACAUCAAUUUAGUGACUUCUAAGUUCUAAUGUUAAUUACCCUUUUGACGUGGUUCUUGUUUCUUUAAAUAAAUUCUUCCUCAUCUCUAAGAGAUUUAACUAUUGCUACAUAUACUAGCUAAUCCAUUAUUUUAGGGAAGUAACUAAAUUGAAGAGGGAGAGAUUUUAUUUAAAUUCGGGUUCUAUGGGAAACUAUUGUGAUUAUAAUUUUUUUUUUUUAUGAGCAUAUCCAAAUUAAAAUUUUGUCCAUUGUCAAUAGAAUCUGGUCAGAAUAGAAUUCCUACUUUUUUAUUUGUCUCCAAUAAUUCCAAUAGCCUGCUCACCAUAGAGUCAUCGACAAUAGUAUGAAGAUUUUUUUUACUACCUUUUUUUUUUUCCUUUUGUGGAACUUAAGACAUAAUCGACAGUUCCACAAAUUCAUAAUUUACAUCUUGGAAGUUCCUAAUUAACUGAAUUACUAAUUCUGUGAUCGAAUAUCGUAGGUUGUGCUUCCUAGCUUGGAGACAUUAAAUAUCACUGGCUUGGACAACAUUGAGAUGAUAUGGGACAAUCAAGUUGCUGCAAAUUCUUUCCCCAAGCUAAAAUCGCUUUUUGUGGAUAAAUGCAAUAAGGUUGUGACAGUUGUUCCUUCUUCCAUUUUGGGACAGCUCUUGUGCCUAGAAAGUUUAAAGGCAAACACAUGUGGUUCAUUGGAAGUUGUUUUUGAACUUCGGCCACUAAAUUCUAUAGAUGGACCUCAAGUUGCUGUUCCGUUAAAAAAGCUGAUGGUAUCAAGAUUACCAAAGCUAAAGUGUGUAUGGAAAAAAGAACUCACCCAUCAAGUUAACUUCCAAUGCCUACAUUCUAUUAGCGUUUUCGAUUGCAAGAGCCUCACCUCUCUAUUUCCAGCCUCAAUAGCCAAAGAUCUAGUCCAACUUGAGGAGUUAGAGAUCAAUGGAUGUGGCAUUAUGGAACUCAUUGAAAAGGAAGAAGGACUAGUUCCCACGUUUGAUUUCCCAAAGUUAACCUCCCUCAAGCUUAAGCAUCUGACAGAGUUGAAGUGCAUCUACACCGAAACACAUGUUUUACAUUGGCCAACAUUGAAGACCUUGCAAGUCUAUGACUGUAACAAAUUGGAGAUCUUUGCUUUGCAACUUGAGAAUGAGAUGCUACUUCAUAAACAACCCCUCUUGCUGAUAGAAAAGGUAAGACCUGAGAUUAUCUGUGUUUGCUUUGAUGGUGAAUAUUUGAAGUGAUGAUUAGCGUCAACCAAGCAUCUCAUACAAGCAGCUCUUACAUGCGAAGAUGUAAAUUGUACGACUCUCCUUGAAUCCAUAGAAAUAUUACAACAUUGAAACGUCAUAUGUUCUUCAAGUAUUAACUGAAAAUUCUUGUCAAUGUCUAAUGUACCGAAGGAAUACUCGUUGAACCCCUUUCAAAAAAGAUUUAGGCUAAUUUCGAUGGUUCUCUCUCCUAAAUGCCACAAAGAUUGAAAAAACGUGGCAUAUGUCGUGAUAUUAACAUGGUACAAGUGUAUUUGAAUCGUAAGAGAUUAAUGAUAUUAUGCUAAAAAGGGAAAGAUGGGACAUUAUUGUUAACAUUAUUGUUAUUAUUCACAAAAUGUAUAAUAUAGGCAACUCUCUUAAAAACCAACAUGAAGAAUGGAAAGGAGGACCAUGUUUAAAAAAAAAAAAAAUACUAUGCUAAUCUAAUUGACGCAUGCCUUUUGUAUAUCAUCUUUAAACAAGCAAUUAGUCAUUACAUAGACCUCAUAAUUAUAAGAGCACGGAAUUUUGUAAUAUGUUCAUGCGUGCAUGUAGUAUGCAUAGAUAUAUUUGUACGUAUUUUUGGCAACACAAACACAAAUCCACAAUGGCUGCUCGAUAUCUUAUUAAAUUUGUUAUUGAUAGCGAUUUACUAACAUUAAAGAGAAGUUUGUAAGCUAAGGACAAACAAUUGCCUGGAUAAGAAAAACGCACGACUGUUUUGUCCAACGAAAGUUGACGCGGCGGGAGAGUGGGGGGGGGGGGUGGUGGGGGGCGGCGCGGGGGGGAGGGGCGCAAGACUCCCUCAAUAUGUUAAUUUUUCCUCUGGGUCUGGGACAUAUUUGUUAUGAGUCCCACGAAGGUGUGUGUGUGCCUUUGCGUUUUCGCUUUUUCUUAACCGCCUCUUUGGGGCUUUUAAUUUUUGCCAUUGUUCUCAUUGGACACUAGCAAUAGAUAUCAGUUGAACUUUUUUUUGGGCUGAAAUUUGAGGUUGAAAGUGUUGUCAAGUUUGCUUCAUUAUACAGAGAGAGAUAACUAGUGCUCCACUCGCUAAUCCAUUUUUGAAGGAGAAAUUAUUGGUAUGGAAUAAAACUAGCUCAUCAUCAAAUUAAGCUCAGCAUUGCAAGUUUUUUUUAGCUAAGAAAAGACUGAAAAUCAGAAACAACGUUAGUAUGGAGAUUUUUUUUACUCUGUUUUAUUGUUUUAUUCUCUCUUAUUUUUUUCCCUUUUGUGCAACUUAAUAAUUUCUCUCUCCCCUUGGCACUCGUGUAUAUUUACAUCUUGAAAGUUUAUGAUUCAAGAUUUAAUUAAUCACUAAUUUCAUGAGCAAAUUCUAUAGGUUGGCUUUCAGAGACUGGGGACAUUAGAAAUCAGUGGCUUGGAUAAUCUCAAGUUUUUAUUUUUCCCAUCCAUGGUUAAAUCUCUUGCACAACUGAAAAAGCUGACCAUAUCAAAUUGUGAGAAGAUGGAGGCAAUCUUUAUGGAGGAAGAAGGGUUGGGAAUGAAAACAUCAGAAUUUUUGGCAUUCCAGAUGUUAAUCAUUUUACACUUAGAACAAUUGAACAGUUUGACUAAACUAAAAGCAAUAUAGGCCUUUUACCUAAAUCGUUGUUUAUGCACCCAAAGAGGCUGUGGAAACGGGCCCUCCCACAAAAUAAAUACAUCGACUUUCUUAAAUAAUUUUAAUUCCUAUAAUGGGAUAUUCGGGAAAACCUUCGAUUAUUUGACUUGGGUAUAAGUAUGAUCUAUCCUUGAUAUCUAACUAUUGGAUCCUCCAGCAUGGAUAAAAAAAUCAUUGAAUUUUAAAAGGAAAAUUCAAUCGAUUAAGUAUAUUUAGUUCUUUCAAGUGGGGAAUGAAGUAAGUGAGAUUUGUUCGUUUGGCCCAUUCAAUUCCUUUUUUAAUGGCUUUCUCUUAGCCUCACUCUUUAAUUGCUUUAGAGUGAUAUAAUAUUGAUUUGAGGCAUUUGGUAUCGGAAAAAAUUACACGCCUUAAUGUAUUGCACCUUUUGAUGGAUGAUUGGUUGGCUUUUUAAUCUCAAUCUCUCCAUCAUUUUAUUUCUAAUUGCUAAUAUUCUUCCUCGAGCGAUCCACUGCAAUUUUCUUUUACUACAUCAAUUCCCUAACUUCUAACGUUGAUCACCCUUUUGACAUGGUUUUUGUUUCUUUAACUCAAUUCUUCCUUGUCUGUAAGUGAUUUAAAGUACGAUCCAAUAUUAUUUGUUUUGCUUUGAUGGUGAAUAUUUAAAGUGAUGGUUAAACCAAGCAUCUCAUACAAGAUGCUUGUACAAGCGAAGAUAUAAACUGUACACCUCUCCUUGAAUCCAUAGACAUAUUGCAACAUUGAAACAUCAUAUGUUCUUUGAGUAUUGAUUGAACAUUCUUGUCAAUGUUUGAUGUGACAAAUGCAUACUCAUUGAUCCCCUUAAAAAAGAGGCUAAUUCCAAUCAUUUAGCUCUCUUUUAAGUACCACAAAGAUUAAAAAAACACGUGGUAUGUGGUGUGAUCUUACCAUGGCACAAGUGUGUUGUCUAAUUUGAACCCUAUAAAAAGUGUUGAUCUUAUGCUAACAAAGAAAAGAUGGACAUUAUUGUUGACAUUAACGAUUGAAAUUAGUGCAAUUGUGACUAUAAUUGAUGCAGGAGUUAUUUUCACAAGGCAUAUAUCUUUAGAAAUGUGAAUUUAAGGAGUUAAUCAAGUUCAAAUAUGGAUACAAGUCAAAUAUAAAAUAUCAGCGAUAAUGUUUGUUUCAUGAGGGCACAUUUCUUUCCAUUGAAUCACGAGACUCGACAUUUUAAAAUGCAAUUAUUGUGCUCGAUAUGCAGGAUUCAAGAUAUAUUCAACAUCUGCAAACUCUAGAUGUGUCACAUUGUGAUGGGUUAUUAAAUAUGUUCACACCGAUAAUUGCUGAAAAUUUGGUGGCACUUACAAAAUUGAGGAUAAGUAAUUGUAGAAUAUUGACAGAAGUCAUUAAUGAUGAGAAAGGUGGGGAUGUCCGUGUGGUGGCUUUCAAUCAAUUGAAGUAUAUGGAGCUUGAUGGGUUGAUAGGGUUGAGAAGUUUCAGUUCGGGUGGAUACACUUUGAUGUUCCCGCUCUUGGAAGAUAUCAUUGUGACUAGAUGUCCCAACAUGAAGUUUUUCUCUUAAGGACCGAUGGAGGCAUCAAAGUUAAAGAGAGUUCAAGUAUCAAAGGAAGUGUGGUUUUGGGCAAGAAACCUCAACAUCACCAUCCAGAAUAUGUUUGAAGAAAUGGUACGCACUAGUUACCAAAUUCCAUGUAUUUUGAUGGUUUUGAUCACUAGAUGAAUAAUAGCUUUUUGCUAGCUAGAAGUUUAUGCUUAACGAUGCAUUUUUUUCAUAGGGCACGUUUGCUGGAGUAGAGAAAAUGUUGCUAUCUGAGUUCCCUGGGUUGAUUGGAAAAUGGCACAACGAACUUAAUCCCAUCAAGUCGUAUUGGCAACUAAAAUCAGUGGUGGUAGAUAAAUGUCCAUUUAUUAACGCUGUUCCAUCCAGAUUAAUGCUUGUCUUAGACAAUUUGAGCUAUUUGCAAGUGCGUGAUUGUGAGUUGCUUGAAGAAAUAUUUGAUUUGGAAGGGCUGGAGGUUGUGGAAAGCACUCGAGUACUGCCUCAGCUACGGGAAUUGAACUUGGUCAAUCUACCAAAAUUAAGGCGACUGUGGAACAAAGAUCUUCAAGAAUCGCUAUGCUUCAAUUCUCUAAAAAGUCUCAUCCUUUAUAAUUGCAGCAACUUGGGACAUGCUUUAUCUCCAUCAAUGGCUCAAUGCCUUGCCAAUCUUGAAGUAAUGGAAAUAAAGGAGUGUGGUCAAAUGGAAGGAGUGAUCGUAGAGGAAGAAGCAAAGGGAAGCGCAAUGAAGAAGAUUACAUUCCCAAAGCUCCAGUGGAUGAUGAUGGAAUACUUGCCCAAUUUGACUUGUUUCCUCUUGGGAAAAAAUCAUAUACUGGAAUGCCCCAAAUUACAAAAGAUGAUAAUUGCCCAUUGCCCCAAGAUGGAAAGUUUGAUUAGGCAAUCUCAGAUGGAGGAUGACCACAGCACCCCUUCAUUUUUCACUUCCCAGGUCAGUCUUUCAAAUAAAUGCGUCUUUGGUGUUUCAUUGGGACUUGUUCUCGUAGUAUUGGACAAUGCACGAUAUGAUGCAAAUUUUGUGCUUGUGCCAAUUUAUAUACAUAAUCUUCUAAUAUUUAAGAUGAAGAUUAAAAAUAUUCUAAUCCUCAAUAAAUAUUACUAUUAUAUGUACAUCUCCAUAUCCUAUUAGAAGUGUUAAGUUGGUGUAAGUUUAUGAAAUCAUAUCAUAUGCAGUACUUUAGAAUUAAUCAGCGAGGUUCCUAAAAAAGUUAUCACAAUAACCAUAUAAAAACAUUUGCUUUUUGCAAUUUCAAUUAUAAAGAACUAAAACAGAAAACAUAGAAUGGCAUCUAAAAAUGGCAUAAAAAAUAUUAAGUAUCGCCCCUUCAUAUUUAUUUGCGUGGAAGCAAACUAUUGUCAUUCUAUUAAACAUGAAGAAAAGGGAAAAGUAAAACUUCAUAAUUGUAAAAGCCAAUUUCACAAAUUGUUUAACUAUUACAGCUCAUUAUACCAUAAUUAGUGGAGCCAACUUUUGUAUUUCUUAAUAAUCAUCUAUGCUUGAGCAAGGUCUUGAUAAUAAAAAAAAAAAUAAAAAUAAAAAAGGUCAAUAUGCAUGAAGUGGUUUGCCUUCCUUGUUCGUAAAUCAUAUUUGAAUAGCUAUACUCCAACAACCUAUCAAAUUAUGCACCUGUAUUAUACAAUAAAUUUUAACUUUGGUUUAUCAUAUUGAGUGAUAAUUAGUGUGAUAUUAUGCACAAUCUAUAUUUAGUAGGAGAAAAUGCAGAUUACUUUUUCCGGAAAAAGAAAUGGCUUAAAAAAGGAAAAAAUAAAAGAGAAAAAAGGACAUCUGGAUAAAUAGUAGCAAUUCCAAGGGCGGUUGCUGACAUUGCAAGUCUUAUUUCAUAACUAGAUGACAAUAUUUAGUCAAUGUCCUAGUUAAAAUGAAAAUAUUAUAAAUCAGAAUAAAUUAUCCGACCAACAACACCACCCAAGGGAAAAUAUUAGGGGCAUUAAAUACACUGCAUAGGAUUCGUAUUGAAUCAUCCGCAGACUGACACGUGGCAACGCCGGACCCACUUGUCAGUUGAGCGAUUAAAAUUUUUGCUCCCCCUUUCUCUUCAAUAACAGCCCAUCAUAGGGGAAGCUCUGCUCUCCGCAACAACUUGGGCGAAAUGAGGUUCUACCGGGAAACCAUGGAUUUUUUAGUUUUCGCCAUUGGUUACUGGUCUGCUCUCCUCCUCCUGGUAUGGCUCUGCUCCCUCUCUCUUUCCUCCGCGAAGGUGCAUCUCUAUGCGUGAACCACACCACAGCCUUGGCCUCCAUUAGUUGCUGUGCGCUCACUGGACAGAGGAAAAAAAAAAACCAGAAAAAGGAAAAAAUUAGACAAAGUCUAUUUGGUGUUUUAGACUUCUCCCCCCUUAAGAAUUGUUCUGUCUCAGCCAUUUCGGUUCACCUUGAUCCUCUUUUUCGCAACAAGGAAAAAAAAAGUGAACCAAAUCUUAGAGUCAAGUAACAGUAACUCUUCUUUCUUCCCCUCGCUCCCCUUCCUCUACUUUCUUUUUUUGGGAAGAUUAAUUGGGUGGUCCGUCCAAUGGUUGAAUCGGAAGCUUCGGAAUCGCUUCUCUAAAGCUCGCCUCCUCUCUGCGCGCGUGCAUGCGUGGGUUCCGAGCGAUUACGCGAACCGAAGCUUGUUGGUUAUGGUGGUGGAUCGAGGUGGAUCUCCGAUGCGGAAGCGAUUGCGGCGUCAAUUUUGUCGGGGCGUUGAUUCCCGGCAAAGAAAAAUUAAAAAAAAUCUUCUCUUCAGCCCUCUCUUCCUCCUCCUUCGUCCACAGCUGUCCGACCUUCGCUCCUCCUCCGCCGUCGCCAACGGCGGAGUCACCAGCACCUUGAUUAGGCUGACCCUUGCUGUGUCCAAGCCGAGCAUGGCCGUCUUCCUCUGUUUUGUCCGCCUCAUCGUUCUAUAGAUCUCGAAAUCUGGCCGUCCAUAGCGACGGAGUUGCAGAUCUGGAAAUCAACCACCGUCGCUUGUAGCCAUGGACGAGCCGCUGUCGCUGUAGCCAUGGUUGCAGAUCUGGAAGUCCCGUCGCGAGUAACGACGGCUUAUGGACUGCCAUUGUCCCCUCCGUCGACGCCCACGGUCGGCUCGUGGUCGGCCCCGUCCAUGGCCGAGCCACCCCUCCAUCGUCACAACUGCUCGUGGUCGUUGCCCGUUCUGAUCUGGACUGGAGUCGUGCCUCCAGAUCUGGUUUCAUCCAUGGACGCAAGCCUAGCUCGUCCAUGGCUCGCGAGGAGGCUCCCCCACAAAUCUGGCGACCACUGCUUGUCCAUGGCCAUGAGCCUUGACGGCGAGUUUGAGAUCUCGACGGCUAUGGACUGCGAGAUCAAACAGCGAAAGAAAAAAUAGAGAAACAGAUGUCAGGGAAGAAUGGCCAUGGAUGAGAGGGCCGGAGCUUGAACGCGGCCAUGGACGAGCGGCGUCAUGAACGGGCAGACCACAAAGACGACGGAGAGGGUUGGAUGCCAAGCAAUGGUCGCCUUGGACGCGGCGCCGGGAACUCCGCCGGUGGCGACGGCAGAGGGAGGCGGGAAGGUUGGGCUUAAUGUGGAUGGAGAUGGAGAUGGAGAAGGAAAGUGAGGUGGAUUGAGAUUUUUAAUGUUUAGUCAAUGUCCUGGCUACAUAAAAAAUUAAAAAUAAUAGGAAUUGAUCAUCCAGUCAACACUUUCAUUCCGUCUCAUGAAGUUCUUCUCCUCAUGUGAAGACUAAACGCAAUAAAUGACAACCUCCUCCGGCACUUCUCUUUUUUGGGUCGAAUCCUCAGGCACUUGAAAAUGCGCGAUGUCGACCCAAAUUUGAUUGUUUUGACCUUUUUUUUUUUAUUACAGAUUCCAUGCAAGUUUUGUUUUGUUUUUUUUUUCCCUGAUGGAGGAAUUUUUUUUAUUCUCAUAAUUCUGCGCAAUUCUUUCAAUUGUUUUAUGUGAGUAGAAUGUUUAAUUAUAACAAGUAUCUACACAUUUGUUUACUUUUUAAUUGUAAGAAUUAUCACUAAUUAUUUAUUUAUACUGUCAUUUGCAUGUAUAAGUUAUAUAAUACCCAGCCCCGCAUUCUAAGAAUAUUUCAAAAAGUCAUUAUAACACUCAAUCAACAAUACUAAUAAAUUUGGGAAAGUAUGAAAAUAGUCAUCUAAUCUUUUGGUAGUGAUAAGUUGUAAUAGCGCUAAUUUCAUUUUUAUAUCAAAUAUGAGCUGUCAUAUACUAAUUGAUAGAUUUAAGGAAGUGUGGAAAGUCAAUUCUUUUUUUUUUGGUGACAGAUCGUAAUUGCAUUAAUUAUAUUGUAACCAAAUGAAAAAUAUCAAUACUUACUUUUCAAUGAAUAAUUCAUUGGAGGUCAUGAUGUAGUAAAAAAAAAAUCUUGAUUUUCUCCAUACAAACAAAAUACGAUCAGCGGAUGCACACCCACUUUUUGCCAAGGGGUGGAUCACUCGGUACACUGCAAGAUUCUAUUUUAUUUUUCCACCUUAAAUUUUAAUAAAUAUUAUUUCAAGGAUGUUAUUAAUGGUCCAAUGUAAAACUAGUAAAUUGACCCAACUUGUUUUUGCUGAGAUCAUAACAUUAUGUUAUUUAUUCAAGUCGUUAUGUUACCCAUGCCUAUUAAGAAAUUAUUUUCUUUCAAUACAAAAAAUUUCCAUGCAUAAAAAAGAAAAAGGUUGUGAACAAUUGAAGUUACUAUAAUUUUUUUUUUUAUAUCCGGUUUGCCAUAUAAAUUUCAUGACUCUUCUCUGCAGUGAAUUUUAUUAAUUUGAGGAUUCAUAAGUACUGUUCGCAAUUUAGUAUGAAUAAUUAGCAGUGCUCAUGGUAAAUAAAGGAAAUAAUGUUGAGCCAAGCAUUAGUUUCAUCCAUUCCUUAUUCAAUACAUACACUACUUAAGUUCUUCACACCCACUAUUCAUAUCCUUAGUUGACUAGCUCAUCAACACCAUGCCCUUGCUUUUUCUCUAAUUGUUAUGCAUGUUCACCUUGAAGCAAACAAAUCUAAAACAUAACCGAUCUUUGCCGACUAACAUAACGGAAAUUUUCAGCUUGUAUCACUGAAUCUAAAUGUUGCUCUUUUCAAUAGUUCUAUCGGACUGCCUAGCAAGCUCCCUAAACUUUUUGCCAAUCUUCGUGCUUAUUCAUUACAAAAAUACAACUUGUCAUGCCUCCAUGGAACCAACAUUGUUUUGCGGGAUUCAUAUUCUGUUCUUCUUCGUCUUUGUCCUCAUUUAAUUGCAUAGAGAAACAAUUGAGUGAGCUAUCAUUGAUGUUUAGUCAACGGCUCCAUUCAUGCAUUAGCAUAAAUAGGAGGGCUCUCAUUUCUCUCUCUUUCAAUUUUGCAUUGUAGGUUUUCUUAUGCUUUAGAUGCUCUUGCAUCCAACUGGAAAAUAGCGUCUCUCUCUCUGUGAUUGUGACAUAAGAGCUACUAUAAAAAAAAAAAUGAGGACUUAGGAGGAGGGGGAUUAGGAUGAAGUUGAAAGGUACAGAACCAGUCUUAGCAACCAUUUGAAUGAACCCAAGUUCCAUGUCCAUAAGGCCUAUCAACCUAAUUCCCAGACUUUUAAGUUAUCGCUAUGAUUUGCCGAGUAAUUAAGAAAAGUCAACAUUGUCUGGUCACUCCAAAAUCUUAUAAAUGCAUUUAUAAUUUCAUGUUUGUUGCAAUGCAUUAUCUCUAGCCUUAGUCUUCAAUCAACUUGUAUAAAGGCAUCAAUCAACCCCUCUCUAUUUAUGUCACUAAUGAGAUCUUGACUUCUCAUGAUUUGUGAGAAUGAGGGAAGUCUGGAAAUUUCUUCUUUAAGGUCAUAACUCAAUGCAAUCACAUUCAUUGUGUCAUUUUUUUUCUCAAUAUGGCAGGUACAAUUUCCUCAACUUAUACGGAUGGAUCUUUCCCACAUGGGCAAUUUAAGCAAAAUAUGGACUGACGGUCCUCUAGAAACUCUGACUUUUGAUUGCUUACGGGAAGUGAAGGUUCUUAAUUGUAAGAGCCUUGCAAAUUUGUUUCCAUAUUGGGUGGCUACAAGUUUAACCCAACUUGGAAAACUUCAAGUGGAGUCUUGUGAGAUUGAGGAAAUAGUCGCUAGUGGGGAUGACACUCCAUGCUCCAAUACUACUCAAGAUCUUUUCCCAGAACUAACCUCUCUGGUGUUACAUGACAUGCCACGACUCAAGAGCUUUUGUCCUAACUUGCCUUUGAAUUUGCCAUUAUUGAAGCAAUUACGAGUGACUCAUUGUGAAAAAC